CACUUAUGUGUCUAACUAAAUCCCAAAUGCAGACAUGUUCCUGAAAUGCUCUUACUUUGUUUUGGAAAACUAUGCAAUGGUGUAACAUUCAACGGUUUAUAUCUCAUAAGUAGCAAAAUAAGGUUAAGACCAUUGGAUUCUUCACAACUCCAUCUUAGAACCAACAGCAUCAUAACCUCCAUCGAAUUCUAUAAGUGAGAUUUUAUCUUUCUCUCCAUUCCACGCCUUUGUCGCCUUCACAAAUUCUCUAAUGUAACACAUACAAAGGUUACCAUGUUAUAAGAGCGAAUAUCACCUACGACACAUUGUGAUCAAUAGUUAAACCAAAACAUACAAGAGGUGUAGAGGCUCAAAGGCGCUUUCAAGAGAAGCAUAUACUCCUUUCUUGAUGUUCAUAGCUACCUUGCUGGAUACCGCAGCCUCCCACAUUAACUCGCUUCUCGUCCAGCUGAGUUACAGUGACCACCCACAUAAAACUGCAGUCAAUAUUAAGUUUUACAUGAGAUUCUCAUUCUGACUUAGAGAAAUGAUAAUACUAUGAGAUGUGCAUGAAAAUUAGUGAGCCUUCCCCAGAUAUUGUCAAAGCAAGUCCUUAUACAGUUACACUUUAAAAGCAUGAACAUUAUACUAGGAAAAUAAGCAUGAACAUUUCACCAGAUAUUGUCAAAACGAUUUAAUUCUCUAAUAAUCUUCAUGAGACUUUCCAAUUAGGUUAAAUAUAUUUCUAUAAUUUCCACCCUUUGUUCAUUUUAGGUUCCUAAGAAAACUAACAUACUUAAAACUUCAACUUCCCCUACUGGGGAGGCUCUGAAACAGUUAAUACUAAUUGAAAACAAGACAAUGUUGCAGCACAGAGGAUUAAAUCUUUCUUAGUAUACCUGUAAGGAUGCCUCUUAAACUUCACUGCAAUUGAUAAUACAUCAUCUCGAGGUACUUGUUCCUCCUUCCUUAAGCUUUGGAGUCAGCUGUACUAAGGGAAGUUUAAAAGCAUGAACAUUUCACUAGGAAAAUAAGCAGAGCUUAUAAAUCUGCAAAAAAAAAAACGCAAUGAUCCAGAGCUUAUUGGCUUUGAUGACCAACUCAUCAAAAUUUCUAGAGUUCAGUUCCACAGAAGCAAAAAACAAAAGCUAUCAGCAUAAUUGUGUGAAGGUCCACGAGUUUGAUAGAGAAUGUUAUAUGUGAAUGGAAUUAAGGUGACAUGAUGUGGUUCUUCAAUUAGUGCGUUAAACUAGCUCUCUAUUUCCACUAGGUAUAAAGAGAGUAACACUUCUUCUACAGAGAUGAGAGAGCUAAGGCCUAAGGGCAGAUUCUAUCAGAACAUGUUAUCUGUUAGUCUGGCCAAGCAAAAUUAGCAAUGGAUUUGGCAUAUCGUUCUCCUAGGUUGAUCAAUUGGAGCCUUUCCCGAAACAAAAACCUUAUUACAGUUGGGAAACCAUUGAUACAAUAAUCCUAGACAAGAGUGUACAUUGGUUGGUUCAGUAUCACAACCAAAUGUUAAAGCCAAAAACAAUUGGGUAAGCCAGAGCACAAACUUUGUGCAUUAUAUAGUGAGUAAAAAGUUUAAGUCUUUCAUGACUCACAAGCAAUGAUCCCAUGGAAAAAUAGAACCUUUAGAUGAAACACAACUAGAAUGAAGAAACUGCAAGCAAGGAAACAAGUUAAGAGGACUAACACAAUUUCAUGGAUUGCCGACUGAUAUCGAGAUUCGCAGUGUAGUUAAUGGAUGAAAUAGCUGAAACGACUGUGAGGACAUUGCAGGAAACGAAGGAAGAAGCUAUGAGAGAAUCAGAGAACUGUACUGAGGAUUGGUGAAGAAGAAGAAGAAGAAGAAGAAGAAGAAGAAGAAGAAAGGGGAGGAAACGAUGGCAUUGAGAAUAUGGGCCUUACGGGAAGCCCAAACAUAUUUAGAUAGGAUAGGAGUAGGAAGAAGGACUAGGUUAUUUACCAUUGUGUGACAUCAUCGUCUCGUUGCGUUUGCGUUUGCUUUGGUGAUUUUGAUUAAAUUUGUAUUUACUCUUCUUCUCUGGUUAUGUCUUUGUGUUUAACAAACCCACCACCGAAACAAACAAUGAUCAGUUGAAUGAAGCUUUUUUGUGCCUCUAAACUCUUUGGUCAAUUCCUUCUUCUUUUUCUGUGUAUGUUCGAUUGUGAUAAGAUCCAUAUUGGUGUCUAAUCAGAAUCUUGUGCCGCGGAUUUGGAGAGACAUCAUCAUCAUCGACAUCCCUGCUCUUUCUUCGAUUUGGUAUUGGAGCAGACUCUAGAUUCGAUUUUGACAUUUUUUUUGUUUUUUUUUCGGGUUUUGUUUGAAUUAUUAUAUUGCUCUCAAUUUCAGAGUAACUAAGUUUGAGCUUACCCGGAUCUCUGAUUUUUUGUUUUCUUCUUUCUAAAUUGGUUGUUUUGAGGUGAGAGGUUCAAAUAAAUGCCAAUCACAGUUUCCACCAUUCUCAACUGGCUUUGUCUGUCUUGAUUUGGUAACCUUGUCGGAAUUUAGUUGAUUACUGCAAGACUUCUUCAUUCUUUUACCAUGAUUUAUGAUAUUUUCUUUUUUUCUUUUUCCUCCAUUUUGAAACUCCUUGGUAACUGAAGUUUAUUUUGCAGUGAAUACACAUUGGAAUCUGCUUUUUCCUUGAAAAUGGAACUACAAGAUGCUCAGAAAGAUGAGAAUGAGAAAUCCCUUGAGGCCUCUGUAGCUGAGAAUAAUGGGGAAGAUGUGGCUGAAGCUGAGGGAAAGGAUGAGAAUGAGCUUGUGGAAACCUCUGCUGGUGAAAAAGGUAAGGCAGAUGACGACGAGUUUGUUGAAACUUUAAUGGAUACCGAUCAGGUUUUGGCAGCCUUAAAAGUACCGGUAGAGGAGAAUGAUGCAGAAAAUGUUGUUGUUAAAGAACUCUCCCUUCUUGAUUCUGUUGAAGCAAGUUCUUCUGGAAUGAAAAAGUCUCAGGGAUUACCAGCGAAAACUAAAACUAUCAAAAAAGUCAAGAAGCUAGUAAAAAGGAAAAUCAGAAAAGGCACUACUACUGCUGUUCAGGUGGCUGGUGAGGAGAAUUUCGCUGUAGAACAAGGUAUGAAAGAAGGUAGAACCGUGGUAAACAGCAAAGAGGAUGAACAAAGUCCAGAGCCUUCUCUUGGCGGAAGCGAAAAGGAAAUAAAGAAGGUUACAGAGUCUGUUGCAGAUUCCCCCCAAUUUUCUUCUGGAAAAGACAAAGAUUUAGAAAACUCUAUUGGAGGAAAUAUUAUGGAGUUUAAGAAAAACGUAGAAGAAUUAGCAGAAGCUCCUCAACCUGCAGAUGAUGGUGAAAAUGUUGCUGGAGGAAAACUAUCUGGUAAGAAAACACUGAAACAGGUAAAGGGAAAAGCUAGCAUUCUGAAGAGACAAAUGGGGAAAAAAGUCAAAGGGACUCUUACUCAGGGGAUGGAUAAAGAGACUGCAGCUAUAUUGCAGGGACCUAAGGAUGGAGUGGAUCUAGAAUCAAUAGUGUCAGAUAAAAGAGAUGCUGGAGCUUCUCCAGGAGGAAACGUGAUGGAAGCUAAAACAGCUAUUGACGGUUCUGUAGAAGCCAAAACUGGCUUGGCUGAAGGCAAGAGACGCAAAAGGAAUAGACAGAGAAAACAGGAUUUAGUUUCAAACAAGAAACAGCGGAAAGAGGUAGUAACUGCUGCUGAUGCAACAGAACAAAGAAAGGAAGAGAGGAAAGAGCAGCUUGUCAACCCUGAGAAAGGUGAUAGGGACGAGCAUGGAAAAGUAAAGAUUGGUGGAUUGAUCUUUAUGUGCAAUACAAAAACUAGGCCUGACUGUUUUAGGUUCAGUGUAAUGGGCGUACAAGAGAAAAAGAAGGAUUAUGUCAUGGGUAUCAAACCCGGGCUUAAGCUAUUUCUUUAUGACUAUGAUCUCAAACUCCUCUAUGGAAUUUUUCAAGCAUCCUCUGCGGGUGGGAUGAAACUUGAGCGCAAAGCUUUUGGUGGAUCCUUUCCUGCUCAGGUAACCUUGUGUUUCACCCAUGUUCUUCAAAAUCAAAACUUCAUUUAUAUCAGUAGUCUUGAAGAUGAUAUGAGUUUCGUUAAACUUUCAUCGGUUUAACUUAUGGAUCAAUAUUCUACGUAUUUCAGGUGCGCUUUAAGAUCUUUAGUGAUUGCUUACCAUUGCCUGAGAGCCAAUUCAGAAAAGCAAUCAAGGAGAAUUACAACAAUAAUAACAAGUUCAAAACGGAAUUGACUCAUAAACAGGUAAUUCACAUUUUUCAUCAUUUUCUCUAUCUCAACUCUUAACCCGUUUUCUUCACUCUGCUCUUCUCUUCUGUUCUGGUGUUCUUUAAGGUAUUUAAGCUUAAAAAGCUUUUCCGACCAGCUGCUAUUCCUGCACAACUUACCCACACCCAGCCAAUCCCUGUUCCUCGUGAUGCUGACAGGAAAAGAUCUGACAGAGACCGUUACGCCCCUAGUAGCAGUAGAGCCCACCCGACCCGUACACAUGAAAGAAGACGUGAUUCCCCUCCUCCACGCAGAGAAGAACAACCGCGUGACUUAUAUCUCAGUGAAAGAGAGUAUCGAACAUACGGCUUGAGAAGGGGAGACACAACCCAGCAUUAUCCAACUCCGCCUCCAGAUUCUUCUUAUGAUAUUGUCAACCGAGACCGUGUUCGUUUGGAUUCAUACCGUUCAUCUGUAGACCAUGACCGGCUUUUGAGGCAAGCAGAGAUUGAGAGGCAUGACCGCAGGGAAGUUCGUCUUGUUCACUUGCCUGACAGAGACUACCACAUGUAUGAUCAUCAAAGUUCUAGACGGGGAAUCCUGGGUCGAAACUCGCCCAACCCUCCAACUUCAGCAGUUGCUUUGGACUCCUACAGGAGAGACCCGCAUUACAGUUAUGAGUAUGAAAGGCCGUCAAGGACAUACAUGGCUUCGCCGAGAAGAGAAGAUGAUGACUUGUAUUCCCGGUAUAUUACAGCGGAUUCAUUGGCUGAAUACUACAGAUCAUCACAAAGAUACCCAAGCGUAACUGAAUCUGAGCUUCCACCUUCAUUAGUAACAUCCCGGUAUGCUUAUCCAAGGUCUUUGCCUUAUCCACACCGCUGAUCUCAGAUAGUGUAAUUCUCCACUAUCCCUUUGAAUUUAUCAGCUGUUUAAUUUAUGUUGGAUAUGGAUACACAGGAUACUGAAUAGUUGAUACUUGCAACGAAAGGGUUUACUUCUUGCUCGUUGUACCAAAUGGUUUCAGCAAAUAAUAUUGUUUCUCUCUAAUAUAUAGAGUGCUAGAACAAAGGGAGUAGCUUAACUAUAUCGGUUUAGUUAUGAACUAUUGCAUGGUACUUGAACUAAGAGUCAAAGAUUGUCUCGGCAGAAGUUUUAGACCUGAAGAACACAGCUUUGACAUUCCAAAACAAUCUUACCUUCGUUCUGUAAUGCUUCGAUUUAUAUCUUAUGAUUAGGAUUUUUACUGUAACAUGAGAAGAAGGUUUCUUUUUAUUGCCUCUAUAUGACUCAUGAGUCUUUUGAAGACAACAACUUAAAACAAGUUUCGAGCGAUUAACUCCUAAUAUCAUUCCAGCACAUUCUCUCUUAUGUGUCUACUUAAAUCCCAAAACCAGACUGUUCUUCUCCUAUCUCCUGAAAUGAUCUUUUACACUCUUUUGGGAAAAUAUAAAAAGGUGAAACACAUUCCAUGGUUCAGAUCCAAAAGUAGCAAAAUCAGGUUAAGACCAUUGGAUCAUUCACAACUCAUCCUUCGAACUAACAGCAUCAUCACCUCCCAUGAGUUCUUCAAGUGAGAAUUCAUCUUCCUCAAUCAGCUCUCCAUCUUUACCAUCCCAUGCCUUUGUCGUCACGAUCUCAGGUGUUCCGUUCAUAGGCAAAUUUCCUUUUCCACCGGCCCCAGCAUCCUUCACAAAUUCUCUGAUGUAACAACACAUGCGAAGCUUACAUUGUUAUAAGAGCGAAAACCACCUGACUUAAUCUGAACCAUUGUGAUCUCUAGUUAAACAAAACUUACAAGAGGUGUUGAAGCUCAAAGGCGCUUUUAAGAGGAGCGUAUACUCCUUUCUUCAUGUUCAUGGCUACCAUUGCAGGAUAACCAUAUCCUCCUACAUUAACUCGCUUCUCCAAAUCCGGCUGAGUUACAGCCGCCACCCACAUAAAACUGCAGAUGUAUCAUAUUUUACAUGAGAUUCUCAUUCUGACUUUUAAGAAAUGAUAAUAUGAGAUGUGCACAAAAAUAACGAGCCUUGUCCAGAUGUUCUCAAAGCAAGUCCUAAAAUUCCUAAACGAACUAAGAUUUGAUAUCCUAACACUUAUGUAAGAUUGUGAGAUCAUUCUUAAUCGAGACUUUCAGAUCAGGUAAUAUAUAUUUCUAUAGGUUUCAAUACUUUGUUCAUUUUCGGUUCCUAAGAACACUAAAAACUUAAAGUUUCUUCAUCCCUUACUGGGAAGGCUCAAAAAUUAUUGGCAUUAACCAAGAAGAGGACAAUGAUGCAGCACAGAGAAUAGAAUUAUUCUUGGUGUACCUGUAAGGGUGCUUCUUAAACUUCUCUGCAACUGAUAAUAGCAUCUCAAGGUACUUGUUCCUUCCUUCAGCUUUGGAGUCAAGAAUGUCAGGUAAGAAAGAGAUAAAGCAAAUAGCAGCAGACCCACACUUCUUUUCCAUUACAUCCUAUAUAAUCAUUAUGGAACAAGUGUCAAUCUCUUGGGUUCGACCUUAGAAGUAUUUAAGAUAUAUUGUUUGUUAGAGACAAAGCAAAAUAUGUGAACAUACCGACCCAGUUAGCUCAGUUACUUCAACAGGGCCAGCACUAGAUUCUACAAGCUCAGAAGCAAAAGAUUCUAUCGCCGACGCAGAUCUAGCACCAUCGUAAGGAGUUGGGUUGCUUUUGUCUAGACCAAAUACCAAAAUUGUAGGGAAUCCUUGCACUUUGAAUCUGCUCAUUAUCGACUGCAAUAUAUAACAAUUUGGGUCAGAACCAAUCAAUGGUAAAAUGAAAAAAAGAGUGUUGGUACAAAGGAAAACAUUGUGGCAGCUUGUCAGAAUUCAUGAUUCAAAGUAAAAUGGAUAAAGACUAGGCACAGGAAGCCGACUUUCAUGGUAAAUUUUCAAUGAAACCAGUAGAAAGAUGAGGCAGGAAAGAGUCAUAGAAAUUAUUUCUGAUAGGAAAUAAUACUAAAUUGAAAACAUAUUUUGUGAUUACCUGCUCAACAUCGCAAUUGACAUGGCCUAAAUUCACCUUCCCCUUCAAAUUUUUUGCAGCCUUCUUCCACUCUGGGGCAAGCUUUUUGCAGUGUCCACACCUUUCAGAAGAAAGAAAAGAUAAGUUUUAUAUCUUGAUGAGAUGUGUACCGAGGAAGUUGGAAGGCAUGAACAAUUCAGUGGGCCAAUAAGCACAACUUACCAAGGUGCAAAAAACUCGACAAUCCAAAGUUCAUUGCUUUUGAUGACCAACUCAUCAAAAUUACUAGAGUUCAGUUCCACAGAUGCACUAGGUUCAGAUUUCUUUUCAUUAGAUCCUCCUCCAGUUGGUUUACUUUUGCCUUCCAAACGGUCACUCAAAAGACCUUUGAUCUGGGGAGCAAGAAAUAACAGCAAUAAGCUUAUCUGAAAACAGCUACACGAGGCAAAUUAAUAUGAAAUAAUGGCCACUUGUGGUUCUUCAAUUAGUAGUAUUGUGCACUUAAGGAUGCUGACCGCAGAUCAUCAACUGCAGCCCUUGUAUUUUUGAAAGUUUUACUUUUAAAUGAAAAAAUGCCAAUAGUGUGAUUCCAAAGAAAACAUAUUUAAAAAGAAUCAGGUCAUUGCUAUUUGUUGGACAAUCGUGUGAUUCCUCUACAUAUCUUCGUGGUACUUACUACUUACACUUCAAGAAGGUGGAAAGAGUAAUUGAUUGGGCCUUUAAAAACACUCAUUUCUUGACGAAUGAAAUAGUUAUGUAAUUAAGACUCAAGCAGGUGCAUGUGACAAACCUGCUUGUAAGCAAAAUUAGCAAUGGAUUUGGCAUCCCUAGCUCCUUGGUAAUCGAUCGGAGGCUUUCCGGGUACAAAGACUUUAAUAGUUGGGAAACCUUUGAUACCAUAAUCCUGGACCAGAGAGUACAAUGUCAGUAUCACAACCAUUGGGUAAGCCAAAGCCUAAGCUUCGUACAUUAAAGAGAGUAAACAGUUUUGUUUUCCUUAUACGAUUCACAAGCAACAGAUAUGGCUAUGUGAGAUAACAUCACGAACCUGCGCGGCAGACUGGUGAGCGUCUGCGUCAAUUGCCGCUACAGUAGCAACUCCUUUCAGAAUAUUAGCUACUUUCUCCCAUGUAGGUGUUAGAGCUUUGCAGUGGCCACACCAUGGCGCAAAGAACUCUACCAAAACAACUCCAUUUGAAUUAAGAACCUGCAGCAAAGAAACAAGUUAAGAACACUAACACAGUUUCACAUCAAUUCCCAUUUCUGUUAUACCCAAACAACUACAACAAUCAACAAAUUGGAACAAUGACAUAGCAACUAAACCGGAUCUACACACUGCUCGCUCGUACUCUCUCGUCUACCAACUAGAUCAAUCUUCAACGAUGGUUUGAAAGUAAGAAAUCAGAGAGGUAACGAGCAGCGACACUCGAAAACUCUUCACAGAUAUCUUUGUUUUGUUCUGAGAAACAAUUGUGUGAAGUGCUGAUAGACCAAAAAGAUGAAAUCGAUUCAGCGCCAUACCUUGGACUUGAAGUUAGAAGCAGUGAGCUGAACCACUGGCGAAGAAGAUCCAUAAAGAGCACUGCCGAGAUCGAAAGAUCCAAAACAAAGAGUAAGAAGCGUGAGCAACGUUAUUGGUGAUUUGUACAUUUUUUUCUCUCUUUCUCUUCCUCUUCCUCUUCCUCUUCCUCUUCCUUGUUUCUCUCACUUUCUCUAUAAAAUUGUAUCACUUUCUCUCUCGCGAUCCUGUGAAGCAGCAGAUUUAAGAACAUUCGCUCCGUGGAAUUACGUAGUAUCUCCAAUCGUACCGUGACACAUCAGCAAUAAGAUAGCCGACUCUGCUUACCCUUUCUAGACAAACCCUCUGAGUCAUACAGAGGGAGUAGUUGAUUACCAUUUGGCAUUUAGUGUAUUUGUGUUGUGGGGGGUUUCAUUUCACGUAAAGCAAAAAAAGAAAGAGAUGCUAAUUUAUCUUUUGCAAAUCCAUAAAGUCAUAAACUAUUAGAUGGUUCUCAACUUUUUCUAGUUGCUGCGUCUAAAGAAUCGAAUAGUUGCUAAAAAUCAUGAAACUGAUACGUUGAGCAUCUGAAAAUUUGCUAAAAUGAUGUCAAGUUUUUAUUAACGAAAUCAAAACACUGUUCUUUUCCUAUUUUGUUUCAACCAAGGCUGUCUCCGAAACCGAAAAAAAAAAAAAAAAACAAAAAGAUAGAUAUUUCCAAGCCCUCCUUCCAAAAAAUUAACAAAAAGGGCAGAGAGAUCAAUUUGAGAUCGUUAGAUACCCUGAGAGGGAUAGACUCAGCCAGUCUGUGAUGAUGAUAUAAUUGAUUCUGAGAUCAUGAUCAUGAUCAUGUAGAUAUAACAGAUGACUCCUGCACUUUUGAGCUGUCUGGUUGUGCAGGUUUAUCGUCCUGUUUCUCAGUCUCUAAACUUGGAUCCUCUGCAUCAGGCUUACCAUUGGGCAGGGUGGUUGAAUCAGAGCGGCUUGGUGGCAAUGGGUCAUGGACUUCUGAUUUUUCUGGUUGGGUAGCAGUAUCAUCUUGUUUCUCAGUCUCUGAGCUUUGACUCUCUGGAGCAGGCUUGCCAUUGGCGAGGGUGGUGGAAUCAGAGGGGCUUGGUGGCGAUGAGAUCCUCAGAUGAGUUGAAAUUGGUGGAGCAUAAGGAUAUGGAGUAGGCAGAGAAGACAUGGCCAUGCCCGUAUUGUUGUAAGGGUUUAGUGGCAUUGAGUGAUCAUAUUUGCAGGUUGCUCCAAACUUGCAGAAUCCAUAGGCCUUGAAGUUACCACAUGCUGGUUCUCCCUGAACACAGCAAAAUCAAGAUGAAUUAGAGUCACCAAAGCUCUGUUAACAGGACAAGUUGCCGAAAUUUCAAGUUGGCAUAAAAACAAAGAAGGACAAGAGACUUACUGGUCUUACUGGAAGAACAAUAUGGUUCAAGAGAUUAGGUGACUGUAACAACCUUUCUUUCGGAUGACUGUAUUUGCAAUCAUCUCCAUAUUUACACGUUCCGGUGUUCAUAAAAAACCUACAUUCAGCUCUUUCAGGAAAACUGUGAUGAUGUGAUGUCACAGCCACGGGCACCGAUGCACUAGAACUGGAGUCAGGUUGAGUUUUCACAUUGUAAAUGGGGUUAGAUGCAGCCUGCACCACAGUAAAGAGAAGAGAGAAUUUUCUGAUUAGGACAUUCUUUUGCAAAAUGAAUAUGUUGUAAAGGAAAGUGGAGUUUAUUAAUAGCAGAAUCUCUAUCUAUUUUUAUCGUAACUUCAUGCAGAGAGAGAGAGGGGGGUUUCUACUUGACAACUGAGCAAAUAUAUUUAAGACAUACCAUGUAAGUGGCCCAGCCUUGAGGAGGUAAAAGACCUUGGGAGGGUGCAACCAUGAAGGGCAUAUAGGCCUGAGACUGAGGAACUUGAGGACGAGGCAUAGCUCCAUAUGUUGGAGGAGGCAAAGACAUCAUUGUCAUUCCACUGCCAUAAGGAAAACCAACAGACGGAAAGCUGGACAUUCCAUAUGCAGAGUGGCCAUUAGGAGCCUGUGGAUGAGGAUGAUGGAAUUUGCAGGCAACUCCGAAUCGACAUAAUCCUGUCUGCAUGUAAUACGGGCAUGACUUCUCACCCUGGAUAGAGAAGAAACAUAUAAAGUUUUCUGUCAAAUUUGAAACUAAUGGAAUAAACUGUAAUUAUAAGCAGGCUAUCUGCACGUUGUAAUCUUACCUGUCGCAUAGGAAAACCAAGAACAUUGAACAGCACGGGUCCAGCACCAUUCCUAUCCUUUGGGUGGUGAUAUUUACAUGUUGGGCCAUACUUACAGGCUCCUGUCUUCAGAAAAUACUGCAAAGAAAAUGCAUACAGAAGAGGAAUGUGUUCGUUAAUCAUCUUCAGAGAAAAAUAAAACAGUAAGAUGCAUCAACUACCAAAACUAUUAACACUUUCCAAUUACGGAAAGACUCAAAGUAAAUUUAUGUUUUGCAGCAUGAGUGUUGGAUGUUAGAUUAAGUGUCAAUCUUGUAUUCAGACUAGAACAGCUGCUCAAACAUUUCAGACCAACGCCACGAGAACAUAAACUGAGAUGAUAAGUAGUAUAAUGUAAGCAACGCACCUCACAAUCUGGCUGUCCAACCCUCUCGGGCAAUUGGUCUUUGUAAUAAAUAGCACCCUACAAGAUGUUACAAAUUGUAAGUAAGCCAGAGCAACAGAAAAGAUGCAAGAAGAGUAAGCAAAACACACAAAGUUGGUCACCUGUGGAAGAUGGGUAAGAGGAUGAUUGUAUCGGCAGGUGUUUCCAUAGCCACACUGCCCAGUUCUCAGAAAGAACUGACAAUCUCGCUCACCAGGACGAUCAGGAUAUGGACUAACUUGCUCCAAAUUGUCUUCAUUAACUUUCAUCCUCCUGAAGGUAUCUAAGAAAUUCAUAACACCAAGAACACGAGACAAGAACAUUAUGUAUCUCAAUCACCAGGGGAAAAAAAACAACAAACUCAAAUCAUAAGAAAUAAGAAUCCACUUUCCAAAGCCAAUAAGACAAUGUCAUAACUUUAAAUCACACAAAGAGCAAUCAGAAUCUAAACUUUAUAACAAUUAUGAAUACAUAAACAGAUAACAAAAUCCCACGAUAUAAAAAGACGUGAUCUUUCACUUCCAUAAAUGUUGAAGAAGCAUUCAGAAUCAAUGAUCCGACACAAGGAAUCCAACAAGAUAACUCCAAAAAGACAAAUUCGUAUUCAACCAUCAAAAAAAGUUUGGAACUUUGAAUGAUCAAAAGUCUCAAUCACAUUGAGACAUGAAUGAUCAAAAUCAACAACAAGAGAAAGUAUAUGAUCGUCAAACACAUUACGGAAAACAAACCGUUUUGAUUAGAUCUUUGAUGGGAAAAGAGAGAAAAAGAGUAACUACCUUCAAUUUUUUCUGGAGAUCGAAUCGACCCAGUAGAGUUCUGAACCUGCUGCUGAGUUUCGGACAUGGCUCGUUACAGAAACAAACACAGUCACACAAAGAGAGCGAGAGAGCGAGAGAGAGAGAGAGAAAAUCACGAAACUCUUAUUAGUCUCUUGUUAUGUUCGGAGAAGAAAAAACCAGAGAGACAAAAAUCGUUUCUUUGAGUUGUGACUAAGUAAAGAAGAGGGACGAUGAUCACAAUGAUCAAACAAACAAAAAAGAAAGAGGAAAUAAUAAGAUUGUUCCUUUUUACCGAUGAGGAAGAGCUAAUGUGAAAUAAAAAGAAGAAAAAAGCUAAAAAAAACGAUCUUCUGAAAUUUAACUUUUUUUUUUCUUUGUGUCACCCAAAGAUAGAUUUAUAUCGUUUGAACAAAUCCAAAAAAAAAAUAAAAAAGACAAAUCUCUGCCCAAAUAUUCCGAUUGGAAUGAAAUUUUUCCUUAUUCUCUGUUUGGCGAUUUCCUUUUAAUUGUAAUUUUUUUUUCCCAGAAUCUGAGAUUUUCGUGGGAAAAUUUUCGGAUCUUCCUUUUUGGUGUUUUUGCCUUUUUCUUCCCAAUGUGAAUACGAGAAAACAAAAAUAAAAAUAAUAAAAAUUGGGGUUUAAAUAAAAAAAUAAAGAAAUAAUAAUAACAGUGGCUGAGUAAUGAGUCUUUGCCCCCUCGUGUACGGAUUAAUAAAUUCUGCCGGUCCAGGUGUAAUGACUAAAAUACCCCUAUAUGUUUUCAUAAAAACUCGUUUGCUCGUGAUCUAAUUCUCAAUGUGGUGUUUCCAUCUGAGCCGUCCGAUCCGAACCUUGUGGGACCCCCUCUAUUCUCCUCUUCUCUCUCUCUUUUGGAACCUUAUUUAAUUAAAAACAAAAUCAAUUGAUUUUCUAUAUUUUUAAAUCUAAAGAAAAUAAAUAUUGUUACCCAAUCUAAAAUAAAUGUAUAACAUAUAUGUUAGUUAAUCUUAAUAGAGUUAAUACUGAAAUAAUCAAUGAUUAAAUAUUAAUUAAUUAUAAGAUAUGAUUACUUUUUUAUAUAAAUAAUGACACAAGUCACACAACUUAGGUUUCUAAAAGAAUUUCCCUGUACAGUUCAACAAAUAUGCAUAAUUUGAUUUAAUAAAUAAAAGUUUACUUUUCUUUUAACUUUUGAUUUAUUAUUUAUUGCAAAUUAUAAGUAAAUAAAAGUUUACUCAAUAAUAAUUUUUAAUAUCUACAUUUCUUUAUUUAAUAAAGAAAUUUUACAAAAAUAAAACUAAUUACAUAUUUUUUUUGGGGUAAAAAUAUAUACAUUUAAUAAACAAUCACACACACAAACACACCUAAUUUGAAAGCAGUUUCAUUCUGCGUAUCUAACUAAAUGACGGUGGCGUGGCGUGGGUGCGUGCGUGGGUCCUUUUCUUAAUUAUAAUCUUUCUCUCUAAUAAUAAAUAAUAAUACUCACUCUACAGAUUUUCCAACUAUAUUAUUAUGCUCAAUGAAUUAAUGUUUAUCUUUAUUUGAUUGACUCACUCUGAGAGCUUUCUUUUCAUUUUAAAUACAUUUUAUUACCAUUAAUAGAGAUAGUUAAUGUUAUUAAGUUAUAGCUAAACUGUAGCUAAUGCUGUAAACUUGUUAAAAAGUUUCUGAAGUCAUUUUGUUAACUACAUAAGUUAUAAUAAUUGGGAGCAUGUAGUAUGUAUUAAAAAGGAAAAAAAGGGGAUGAUGGGUGUUUUCGUCAUUUUAGUGUUGAGUAAGAGGUAAAAAGGAAAGCGUGAGCCACACGGUGUUUUUAUUUAAUAAAAAAGUACUCAUUUUUAUAAGAUUUAUUAUUGUUAAGGGGAGCUUUAUUUAAUUUUAAAAUAUAAUGACGCAUACUAAAAUGCUCUGGUACGCUAAUCUGCGGUUAGGACCAGUUUUAAUUUAUGAUGUUAUGGCCCACCCCGCUUAAUGACCAAAAUCUGUUGUAAUCGAUUGGUUCAGAAUGUACAAUUAGUUGCAAAUCCAUGCCUAUGUUGUUGUCUUUUAUGUCUUAUGUUUUUGUGGUUUUUUUUUUUUUUUCUUUUACCUCAGUUUUAGUUUUUCUCUUUUCUAAAAAAAAUAUUGUAUCACAAAAAUUCUUUAAUUUACAUCAGUUUUAGAAACUCGACAUGUAGAAAGCUAUACUGUAACUUAGAUUAUUUGUUGUGAAAAGAACUUAACUCAUGAAGUAUAAAACUAAGAUUUAUCAUAGACCUAUAAUUUAGAUCUGUUAAAUUAGUUUUAUAUCCAUUAAUUCGAACACUCAUGAACCACGAAAGACUUCUUUUACUCAAAUAAACUAUAUAUUAUUGGACAAAAAUAUUCUAUAUGAAUCUUAAUAUGCUCUUUACCGUCUUGGCUCUCCAAUCUUUUCCAAAAGAAAAUGAUUCCAUGUGGUUCCUUCAUAGAAAUCUCUUUGACUAUGAACGAUUACGAUUUACGAGUAGGGUUAUCUCCCAACCAUCCAGAGACUAACUUUUUCUGAACGGUCGUCGCCUAUUUUAGCCGUUUGGUGGGUACUCUAAAAGCUUAUCUCGCAUAUAUAUUAGUUAGUAUUAUUAACCAGUGGUGAACAAAUAGUAGAAACUGACGUACAAACAAUACAAUUGGAGUAUAAUUUUGUUGUUUUGGGGGUAAACAAGUUUGGAUUUUAAGGUAACGCACGAUACAGAAAGCAAUCGAGUAAAAAGAUAAUAAUAACAUUGAAUGCAGUUUGGCAGAAUCUACCAAGAGACCUUUUUGCAGCAUUACAUCAUAUUUUUUAAUAGGGACAGGACAAGUGUAGUGUUGUAGACUACAGGGUUCGGGGGGUUUUACUACACAACUCAGGCUUAUUGUCUUAAAAGCAAUCUAACUACUGUAUAUAAAUGGAACUCACAAGUUAAGCUUUUGUUUUCUAUUUUUCCAAAUUAGGAGAUUGGUUUGAAACGAAGAGGAUUUUAUUUAUAAUAAAUGGAAACAGAUUAACCGUUUUAAAGAAAGAAAAAAAAAUAUCAGAAACAUAGGUAUAUAUGAUGAAAUGGGAAUAGAGAGAGUUGUUGUAUUGAUGAUAUUUAUAUUUUGAUUCUAAAUUACGAAAGUAUGGAUUAAAAUAAGAAAAAGAAAGUUUAAUAAGUCAAAACCGGCUUUAGAUAUCUUAGAGGGACAAAAGAAUAGAAAAGCAGACACGAUUCGUAAACAGUUUGAAAAAAGAAACAGGCUUUGGGACCAAGCCAAAGCUAAAUAAGCUUCCUUCUCUUGACUCGUCCCGUCUCGUCGUCGUGAACUAAAAGAAGAAAACAUUAGUUAAGAGAGGAAAGGGCAAAGUGGUCAAAAGGAGUAAUAUUUUGAGUCAUGCACAAGUAAUCUCCUGCAUCGCACAGCAAGGUAGGACCCACGCGUGUGUAACCAAAAAAUGAUACUGACCCGUCAGUCUUGUGCCACGUAACGUCCACUUCAUUACAAAGUUUUCUAGUGUGCACGUGGGUUUUGACGCGGUUUGUUAUGACCGGUUUGACCGUUUGAAAUACUUUUACGUCAAGCCUUUUGUUUUUUUUUGUUUUCUUUUCUCUGCUGCCCCAUACAGAGAUAUUUUGACUUUUACGAGAAACCAAAACAAAAUGGUUUGCAUUUUAUAGAAAUUAAAAUCCAAAAACAUAUUAUCCCCUAAAAGCUUGUAAAUCCCCGCAUAUCAAGGAGAAAACGCAACUUGGCCUACGAAUAAAGCCUCUUUUUAAUCUACGCGAGGCUCUUUCUGAUGAAACUGUUACUGUAGAUGAUGAUGAUGAUGAUGAUGAUUGUAGCAUAUAUGCAAAAUGAUCAACUUCCUCUAUAGAGAAGAUUUGGUUUAGUUAUACUAGCGAGAGAGAUAGGGGACGCAGAACUACUUUAUAUCUACUCAGCAGAAGAACAUGUUGCUUUCCACUCUCUCGUGCAGACGUGGUAGCUCUGCAACUUUCCCGUCCUCUAGUAUCAUCUCUUCAGACCUAUUGAAUUGCGCAAACUGAGCUGCUGCCAGAUGAGCGUAUCGCACUGGGGCCACUGAGAAACCACAAAAGAGAGGAGGUUACAUUGAAUAUUCAGCUGUGUGGUUUCUGUUUAGUAAAAUACAGAAGGAUGCAUAAUUUUAUUAUUAGAACAGAGUUUGGUAAGGGAGUGUUUACCAAUCGAAGUUGCUGUUGUGCUACGUUGGUUGCUGUAACGACGAUGAUUCCACACAGUUAGAUCUUAGUGAUGGAAAAGAUAACUUGGUUUUUCUAAGUGACAUUAGAGAGAACUUACACAUAGGAGAGGGAAUGGAUCAGAUUCUGCAAGUCAUCUGGGGAGAAACCAAUCUCAUCAAGUAAUACAUGGUAAUGGGCCGGUCUUGAAGUUCCCUGAGAUAUCAUUAUGAGGGAAACAUUAUGUGGGACUGUAAUAAAGGUGUUAGAUGUGAAGCUUUUGAAAAUAAACAAGCGUCAGUUUUUUUUAAUAUCUUUUUUUUUUUGUUGUCUAAACUUACUAUUAUUCCUGCAUGAGCACACAUGUAAAAAUCGUAGUUUGUCGGGUGUACGAUCUUGGUGUCCACAACAGUUCCUGACAAACAUGAUUGCUUUGUAUGAAGACAUUGUUCUGGAGAGAAAUGGAAUCGUAGUGUGGAUGAUGAAGAAUAAAGAGUAUUUCUUACCUGCAGGAACAUUUUCAGGACCCUUAGCUUGAAACAACUUGGUGUGGUGCUUCUUCUGAGCCACAAUGACAGUGAACUUUGGCACAUCAGAUUCACCAAGACGUUGAUACGCCUGUGCCAUGUAAAAAAAAGAAGCAAAACUGUUAACCAAUAUCUUCACUAGGAUUUGAAUUAUAGAUUGAAAACAGAAUUUGAUAGAAGCCAAAACAAGCCAUGGGACUUUUAAGUCAACCUUUAUUAUUUGGUCCACCUCGAUGUUCAAGACUUGGUUGAACUGUGAUCCACUCACACCAUCCCUAUCAAAUGCUUUGGGUAAGGAUAGACUAUUGGAUAUUGGAGGUUAUACAACAGAGAGAUAAACAGUAAAUGUUUCGUGCUAGUACCUGAAAAUGAUAAUUUGCUUAGGCUUUCGUGCCCUGCUUGUCCGAUAGAACUCUACAAAUAGUUCGCUGUUGGAAACAAAUAAUUAAACACGGAGAAGUCACUUUAACAUCUUCAGUACGAUAUCUCAUGAGUUGAUGAAAUAAAUAAAAAUAAAGCUGAUAAACUAGGGUUCACAUACUUCAUGAUACCGUUAUCUCCUUUCUCAGUGUUCUCGAUAGGUUGGAAGAGCGAAUCAAUCAUCUCCAGACGUGGUGCCUGAGUUCUUACAGCUGCCCUAUACCUUGAGAUUAAGGGCCAGCAUUUUGAACCAACAACCUUGUAGCAGAGGUCGAAAAAGUAAACAGAUAAAGAACCAGAUCCUAAGAAAACCAUAAACAAUGGACAUACAAAGGAAAAUGCACAUAACCAAUACCGCUGCUACUGAAGGAACAUCUGCCCGACCUGGAGGCCCAUGAGAUACAUCCAUACCCAAAAUCAAGGUGGGAAUUUUGUUUAUCAAUGGAACGUUGUAAGAAUACUCUAUCCCCAGCAGAGAAUUGAUGCCUCCAAGCUAAUCAAGACAAAAGAGAAGAAGUUAAUCACAAGAACAACACAUCAAAAGAUAUCUCAUGUGUUAGCUUUUGGUGUUAUACCUUAGAAUUUAUCUUCAGAAGUACAUUGGUGAGAUAUUGGUCACUGAUCUUGAUAGGGCAGAUGCACUGUGUGUUGAUCCCUUCAUCAGUGAGGCAAAUCUUCUUCCAGGGACCUUUAUAGUUUGCAGUAACCAGUUGAAUGAGAGAGUUCAAACUUUAAUAACCGCAGGAAAAAGGUGAGAUGAUACCAUAGAUAUCAGAAGUUUUCCGUUCUGGCAGGACACAGAGGAUAAAAUGAGGAGGAUCUGGAAAUUUCAACUUCAUCUUUGCAAUCAUUUUUUCUACCCUUUCAACAGGACCUGCUUUUUUAUACUGUGGAUCUUCUUCAACUAGUGCAAAAGGUCGAUCAAUUUCCUGCGAUUUGAUAAACCAUAUUCAGACCCUAUAAAUAACCAGAAAAGACAUAGUUCAACACUUAACACACCAUAUGAAAAUGGAGAGAGUAUCUACGAAACCUACAAUGCCUUUCUUCAUGCCACAGCUUAUAAGCUCACGGCAAAUGUGACUACUGUCGCAUGGAAAAGAAAAGUUGACGACAGCCCAGUUUUUAAUAGGUCUUGGUUCUAGAAGCAUCUGCAAGCAAGAAACAAAGGGUUCAAAUGAAAGGGAGAAAGACUAGUUUGGGAAUAAUAGGUUCAAUCCAAAAAAAAAGAGAGUCAGGAACUAGAAUCCACAGUAAUUAAUAUAAUGAUACCGGAAAUCUUUGCAGACAAUUACCUUGUUGUUAAAGUUCCACCGUCCGUUGCAAGGUUCAAAAUCUUCAUUCUUGCCAAACUUGAGCUGUAUAUUACAAAUGGGACAAUAUGAGAAUUUAAGGGGGAUGGUAGCUCCUGUUUAUCUAUCAGAUAUUGAAACAUAAAUAGGAUUUACCAUUGGGGGCUUGAGAAUCCGACCUUCAACUUGAGUCAUUUGUUUUUCAAUUGAGAUGCCACAUCCAGCCAAAAAUGGGUCCUUGUCAUAGGUAUGCAUUGCCUACAAUUCUAGUCAGUAACAAUAUCUACCAUCCAAGAUAAAAAAAAAAACACAUCAGCCGAGGUCAGAAAACAAAUCUCACAUCAUUGAGUGUUUUAAUUCUAUCUAGAGGUUUUUGUCUUGAUUUUUCGGCAAGUGAAGCUCUUUGCCUCCCUGACAAUGCUUUUGUAUAACGUUGCAGAGAUACAAGAUUACAAAACUGCAAGAAAAAUAUGAGAAAAAUGCAAAAUUACACCUCCAGAAGUGGGAUAAUAGACUAAAAAAAUUAACUAAGAAAAAACUGUUGGAAAUGCAUACCUCCAGAGGAAGAUAGAUAGGGCGAUUUGGCUUGCCAACAUCAAGGCAUGGCAAGUACGCAGAAGAAGUAGGCUGUGUGUAAGUUUGCUUGAAAUAGUCAUACACAGUAAUCUCUCUAGUCUGUUCUUCACGUUCACCAUCUUUGAUCUUCAUCAAAAACCUGGAAAACGAUGGAAAAAGUCAAGCAAAAGUUGAUAAAGGUGACACAAAUUUAUAUCGAAGUAUACAAUCAUGGGGAACAUACAGUUGCUGAUUGCACGGUUUCUGACUUAGACCUAUGAUUUUAAAUUCCAUGUCUCGGUGUGAUGCCUUUACCCGCAUAUUUUUAAGCAUUUUUGCGGCCUGCCAAGUUUCAGUGAGAAAUUCAAAAGCUCAAAACAAAAGCAACCGUGUAUCAUGUAUGUUCCUUGUUAUUGCAUUUAAAAGCAGAAUUACCUUAAUCCAGUCGAUUUGUCGUGGGGACUCAACACUUUGAUUGGCUUUCAGGAAUUCAAUAACUGGACCCGCUUCUACGAUCAUUGUUGUUGACACAUCUGCAAACCAUCGCAAAACAAUCCCGUUUUGAGAAUUUUUAAAGCUAUCAACUAUAAAGACUAUGUAAGCUGGAGAUGAGAGAGGUGAACCAAAAAAAUACCAAUGUUAAGCGAGAGUCCUCCAUGGGUUGGACGAAAGCUCGAGUGGAAACCUCGAAGACCUUUUGCACCUCCUCCAAUGUCAAAGGAGUACCCAUUGUUAUGGAAAAAUGCCUGCCUGAUCAAAAGGCAUGCCCUGCACAAUCAACAGUUUUCUAUAGUAAGUUUCUAUUCAGAAAACGAAUUAGUUGUACAUAUAUUAGAUUUACCAAUAAAUGACCAAAAAGAAAAAGAUUUACCAACAAAGUGAAAAUAUGAUGAUAAACUUUGUCCCUUAGAAUGUAGAAAGUAUCUUUUUCUUAAUGAUAAUAUAUACUGCACAUUACGCAAACAGAUGGAAAGAUGCACCUUUCAGCUGCUUGCUGCCUCAGAACAGUGUCAAGCACUCUAAGUGCAUCCUGGGCACUCUUAUCUGGUGUAACAGCUCCUCUCUGAGUGACAAGAACAGUCUUUAAUGGUAUUUUGGUAACAAAAUGUAUCUGAACCUUGUAACUUCUUGGCAAGAAAGAACAUUUUGAUCUCUUGCAAGUACCGGAAGAACUAUCACCAUUAGAGAUAUCAGCAUCACUACAAACUUAACAAGACUGUGUUAGAAAGAACAUCAACAAGAUCUAUAUUGCACACCUUGAGAAGAUUAAAUAUCAAUCCAGAUAAGAGGGACCUACCGUUUUGAAAAUGAACCUUCCAAGAUGACUUGAAAGUCAAAUUCAUUCUGUGGCAGAGGACCAACAGUAUAUAAACUCUUCUCUCCAUCAUAUGCCAACCUUUUACCAUCAAGAUCAGAAGAGUAAGUCUUGAAUAGUUGGUCCAUAAGCUUUCUUCUUAUCCCUUUCCCAUUGACAUCAUCACCAUUUUCUGUGGUGAUACUAACCUGCAAAAAAAGCAAAAUAUGUAAAACAUCGCAUAGACACACAAACACAGAUAAAUGAAUGCAGGAAAGCGACUAAUCAAUCUUACAGUGUACUGGUAAAAUACUACAUCCGGAUGUCUCACAGAAACGUUGAAGUGAUUGGUGCACAAUUCUAUUGGGUUGCCUGUAGUUCCAACUCCAAGUCUAGUUGUGAUGGCAUAAUCUCGAUGGCUGGGCUGUUCUGGUGUUAUACUUAUGGGUGACAGUGGCAGAGAUGAAGAUGUCUCCAUGUUUCCAGGGGAAGAUAAUCUGCAAGAGAGAAAACUAGAGGUUUUGGAAAAAUCAGCCCAAAAUACAAUGUUCAGAGGACUCAGAAAGAAGAAGAAAAACACACCAAAAAGACGAGUAGAACAUCACAAAUCAUUACAUAUUACAGCGGACAACAUGCCACAAAGUUACCACAAAACAUCCUAGAUUCUUGUAAUAGGUUGAAGCUAAGGAAAGAGAAAACAAUAAACCAUCAAACAGGUAACAGAACAGAUCAAAGAUGAGUCAGUAUCCUUGAAAUUUUGAAGGAAACACGAUAAUGACAUAAAGCCUAUAUCCUGAAUGAACCGAGAAGCAACCCUUACCAAGCUUUUCAUGGCAGAGUUUUGCAACAAAGAAUAAUAGACCUGGAACUGCUUCUCCCUAAACCCUGAUCAUCUCACUCACUCAUCCUCAGACAACUCAUUUACUCUGAUUUAUUAGGGUUUUUAUUCAGACACAUGAGGAAGAAAGGAUAAUCGCCAUGAACAUCUUCAAGAAGAAGACCACUCCCAAAGAUAAAAAGCUAAAAACUUUACUACCAUUGUCGUUCUGAGAUUUUGUUUCCUGAUUUUUUUUUUCUAUUUCUGUCUAAAUCGCUAAGAAUGGUAUCAAUUUCAGUUGGGGAACAAACUUAAUCUGGAAAAAAUGGAAACUUUUAACUGUUGGGCGAGUUCAAAUGCGUCAUGCAGUCAGCGAGAGAGACAACGCUACAAACAAUUGGAGAAGAAGAAGAAGAAAAAAAAAACUGAAAAUUCAAGUAAAAUGAUGUACCUUGAGAGAAGUACAAAUGCGAUUCCUAGGGUUCCGGUGAAUCAGAGAGCAGCAAGGAGGAGGGAUUUAGCUCAUUUCUGGUCUCCGUCAGUCUCUUUGGGUUUCCCAGAAAAAGCAAAUGGGAGGGAACGUUUCGAGUGAUGUAGAAAUUAAAAAAAAAAUCACUUUUCGGGUAAAUUCUUAUAUUCACAUUUAAAAAAUUUGAGAAUUGAGAUCAAAAUUAUCAAACCGAACCAUUCAAAAAUCAAAAAGACUUGGUUGGUUUAGAAAUUGCAAGACAUAAGUUUCGAAUACACGACGAAACAAACCAUCAUCGUCAAUCACAGACUGAUGUUGCCAAUGAACAUUUGAGGUUGUAGUCUACAAUAAUGACUAAACCGCUUCAAACCAAAAAAGAAGAAAAGAAUUUCAUUAAACCGGAAAGCCCGAGGGCGAUAAAGUAAACCGGAUAAUUGACCCGUACCCGAACAUGAAGAAACAUCAGCCACACGCGCCGAAAGAAGCGCGUAGAAAACAACGUGUAUGUUUUGUAUCCUCAGAAAAGAACCACCGUGGAUCCCACCACACCUCAGGCUUCACUUCUCUCUCUCAUCUCCGUCAUACCCACCACACUUUCUCACAUUUCCGAUUUUUUGAAGAAAAAAUUUGAAAAAGAAAAUUUCAUGGAAGAUAUUUCGACGGAUCCGCUUGUUCCGGCGGUGAAACCUGACCCGAGGACAUCUUCAGCUGGCGGAGAAGGUGCUAAUCGUCUUGAAAAUGACGACGGAGGAAGCGGUGGCUCUGAGAUUGGAGCGCCGGAUCUGGAUAAGGACCUGCUCUGUCCGAUUUGUAUGCAGAUUAUUAAAGAUGCUUUCCUCACGGCGUGUGGUCAUAGUUUCUGCUAUAUGUGCAUCAUCACGCACCUCAGGAACAAGAGUGAUUGUCCUUGUUGUAGCCAACAUCUCACUAAUAAUCAGCUUUACCCUAAUUUCUUACUCGACAAGGUUUCUAUUUCUUUCUCUAGUUUUUGCUCAUAGUUUGUGUCUGGAGAGUCAGUUUAUAUGGUUGUUAUGGGUCCAUGAUAGUGGGUAUUUUGUGGUUUUGGUGUCUUCGCUUUUCGAUUCGAGUUUGGCUGCUGCUCGUUUGAGUCUUAGCUUGUAAUCAAGUUUAGUUCUUGUCUUUAUUUUUGUGGAAGUAGGAAGCUGAUUAGUCUUUAACCGAAUGCCAAUGAACCAUAGAGUAGAUGUUCACGGAAAAGAUUUCAAUGGUAUCUCUCUUGAGAACCUGUGUUUUCUUUUGUUAAUAGGUUAAAAGCAGUAGAGGUGAUAAUGAUGUAGUAGUAGUACUAUUUACUCUGUGAUAGGAAUUUGUGAUGAUAAUUCGCUUUGUUUCUGAUGCGUAGUUUAUGGUAGGAUUCUGUUAUUGCAGUUGAGAGGAGUUAACUUAUUGCCGUCUUACAUGCACGUUCAAACGUAGACUUACUCUUUGUUUACUGAACUUGAAAUAAUACACCUUAUGAUAUGACUUCUCUGUACCACUUGUGUAGCUAUUGAAGAAAACCUCAGCUCGACACGUGUCAAAAACUGCAUCGCCCUUGGAUCAGUUUCGGGAAGCACUACAAAGGGUCGGUUCUUAACAAGCCUUUAUGUUCCAGUUUUCCUCUUUAAAUUCGCAUACUCAGAUUUAUCAGUAAAGAACAAAUUCUAAGUCAUUUCUUAUCGAUCAAAUAUUGAUUUCCUGCGUUCAUCCUUAGACAGGGUUGUGAUGUGUCAAUUAAGGAGGUUGAUAAUCUUCUGUCACUUCUUGCGGAAAGGAAGAGAAAAAUAGAACAGGAAGAAGCUGAGAGGAACAUGCAGAUACUGUUGGACUUUUUGCAUUGUUUAAGGAAGCAAAAGGUCGAUGAACUAAAUGAGGUUGGUCUGUUUGGAUUAUGGAGUAGCAUUAAGAUACCUAUUAGUAAUUAAUCUCUUUGCUCUCCAUUCCAUCUGCUUUAAAAUCUUUCCUGGGUAAUAUGCUGUAAAAGGAAGAAACUAAUAGUUAAAGAAGAAAGCCAGAAACAUGUUUCUAGCAAUAAUUCUAUCCCAACUCUUCUUGAGACAUUAUCCAUGAAUGUUUUAGAUGAGUUCUCAGGAACAAACGACUGUUACAGAAUUCUGUCAUUUAUGCAGUUUCUAUCAUAAUGUAGGUGCAAACUGAUCUCCAGUAUAUCAAAGAGGAUAUAAAUGCCGUUGAGAGACACAGAAUAGAUUUAUACCGAGCCAGGGACAGAUAUUCUGUAAAGUUGCGGAUGCUUGGAGAUGAUCCAAGCACAAGAAAUGCAUGGCCACAUGAGAAGAACCACAGUGGUCUCAACUCUAAUUCUCUGAGCAUAAGAGGAGGAAAUUUGGUAGGCAAUUAUCAAAACAAAAAGGCAGAGGGAAAAGCACAAGGAAGCUCUCAUGGGCUACCAAAGAAGGACGCGCUGAGUGGGUCAGAUUCCCAAAGUUUGAAUCAGUCAACUGUCUCAAUGGCUAGAAAAAAACGGAUCCAUGCGCAGGUUUGCUCUUUCUUGUCUACUCAACAUCUUGAACAUGUCUUUUAUGUUGAGAUGGUCCAAGGACAGCGGGAUUAACGUUUCAGAUUUUAGUCUGUUAAAGAGAAACACAAUUUAUAGAAUUGUGCUACAAGUAGUAUCAUGCCUAGCUACUCACUUAGUGAGAUGGAUCGACAGCUCAAAAAACUGAAAGUGGUUGGGGGUAGAAUACGAGUCUACUUACGGAAAAGACACCUUCUAUUAAGGCUCACAUAUUCGGUGGUCUGUAUACAGGCCGGUUGGCUUCAGAGAGUAAUCGGUUUCGCAUUGUUUGCAUAUAAAAGUAGAAAUAGUGUUCUAGACUUUAUAUCUAUUGCUUAGUGAUAGUAGCCGGUUCUUGUCUCUCUGGUACUGUAGCAACAAAAGACUAUGUUUUCGAGGCACACUUAUCAUUUCUGUGAAUAUUAUGCAAUGGCAUCUAGACAAUUAUAGUAGUUUUCUAUCUAUAUGUAACUGCCUGUUGAUAUAUACACUAGAUUGCCUAAUUCUGUGUGUGUGUCUUGUCUUGUCUUGUAGUUCAAUGAUCUACAAGAAUGUUACCUCCAAAAGCGGCGUCAGUUGGUGGACCAACCAAAUAGUAAACAAGAAAAUGAUAAGAGUGUAGUACGGAGGGAAGGGUAUAGCAAUGGCCUUGCAGAUUUUCAAUCUGUGUUGACUACCUUCACUCGCUACAGGUAGGGUAGUGACUGUUCCUUUUCAAUUGGUCUAGCUGUACAUAAAGAGUGUUUUCGAAUUUAUCAGAUGUUUAAUUGCCCCCUUUAUUCACAGUCGUCUAAGAGUCAUAGCAGAAAUCCGGCAUGGGGAUAUAUUUCAUUCAGCCAACAUUGUAUCAAGGUGAACUUCUUUUCCUUAUUCGUUUGAGCAGAUGAAAGAUGAACACUAACGAAGAGCGUCUUCUAAAAGACUGUCUCAGAAAGUGUCAAAAUGUACCAUUAAGUGAUCAAGUUUUGUUUAAUGUAUGGAUAGACUCAAUUACUACUAUGGGAUCCGUUGCUGUAUAAUUCUAAGCCAGUGAAUGGUAUGAAGAUGAUUCUGCUGACAUGGUAGGCAGAAGGUUUUGUGUUAUCGGCAAGCCACUUGAGAAGAAUUUUCUAAAAGAUGGAACACUAUGUUCUCCUUAUCUAUGUCGUAACAUAUUUUAAAGCUGUUUGCGAUCUUUAAUAUGAAAGUAACUUUUCUCAAUGAAGGGACGAAAGAUUUUUUCAGUUGCUCCUGGGCACAUUAUCUUUUUUCUCUAUGUGCUUUGAUUUAUGGUCUUUCAGUAGUUUACAUGCUUUUUGUUUUGCAUGGACCUGUAAUGUAAUGUACCAUAUUGCUUGACUUGCUGAAGAAGUGGGUGCUAUUCCUUUUCAGCAUAGAGUUUGAUCGUGAUGAUGAGCUGUUUGCUACUGCUGGUGUUUCUAGAUGUAUAAAGGUUUUUGACUUCUCAUCGGUACGUUAAAAAAUCUUGGAGGACAUUCAGUUACAUAGUAAUUGAUUAUUCUUGUCGAAAUUUAUGCUUUUGUGAACAAAAUCAUGCAUCUCAAUUCUAGGAAAGCUUCAUUGAUAAUGAAACUAAAUUAUGCUCUUGGGAAAAUCUAGCUGUGAUGCAUGAUAGCCAUUUACACUUUAGUAUUGCGUGGAAAAUAUAAAUCCAAGCUUGGAAAUAGUCAAAUUUUGAUUUUAGUUUCUGUCUUGUUCAAUGGACCACUCUGGACUGGUUUAUCAUUUGGUACAACUUUUCAGGUUGUAAAUGAACCAGCAGAUAUGCAGUGUCCGAUUGUGGAGAUGUCAACUCGGUCUAAACUUAGUUGCUUGAGUUGGAAUAAGCAUGAGAAAAAUCAUAUAGCUAGCAGUGAUUAUGAAGGAAUAGUAACGGUGUGGGAUGUAACUACUAGGCAGGUGAGUACUUUUCCCAACUUAUCUAACAUCGCGCCUUAUAAUAUCAUCUCAUGAAUCGUGAAAACUGAAAAGUAUCUAAAAUUUUAUGUGAACAACUGGUGGCAGAGUCUUAUGGAGUAUGAAGAGCAUGAAAAACGGGCCUGGAGUGUUGACUUUUCACGAACAGAACCAUCAAUGCUGGUCUCUGGUAGUGACGAUUGCAAGGUAUCUUCAGUUUUUUUCGUUAUCACCUUUCAUCUCGCAUUGGGCUCUGUAUCAUAUAAAAGAAUACUAUCUUAGAUAUCUAGAUCUUAUGAAUAACUUGGUCGCUCACUGAUUUGUCUAAUUUCAAAAACUAGCUAAAGAGACAUAAUGAAACAUAACUGGAAAAUCUCCUGCUUCCUCAUUAGUACUUUUUUCUACUCAUGACUCUUUUCUACUGUUUCUUAAACUUUUUUUGUGAGGUGUUCUUUCCAACUUACGGAUUGGUCAUAUGUUCCCUUUUCUACGUUGAAUGUUUGUUGGUUCUUAAAUAUUCAGCAUAGUGAUCCCCCUUAGUGUAUCUGUGGCGGCUAGACAUUAGCAAGCGAAUGAUACUGGACACUUGUAUUGUAGUAAAUCAUACCUUAAAAGUCAUUGGUUAUUUAAAAAAUCAUGGUGGAUGUGAUUUUGACUAAUUUCACUAGAUUUCUAAUUCUUGCUGAAGCAUGUUAUACCAGUGGGAUCCUUUUUAAGUCAAUACACUACUUUUUAAACCUUUCUUAACCAUGCAUUACUGCAUUUGUUACAUCAGGUUCAUAGAUUAGCCAAUUGUACUCUGUUUUUGAUCCAGGUUAAAGUAUGGUGCACAAAUCAGGAAGCAAGUGUGCUUAAUAUUGAUAUGAAAGCAAACAUUUGUUGUGUCAAGUACAAUCCUGGCUCAAGCAACUACAUUGCGGUAUAUACUCCCUUGCCUCUGCCAACUUUGCAUCUCACAUUAUUCGCUAUUCAAUAUUGAGCUACCACUUAUGAUCAGCAUGACACUAUCACACGUCUGUAGAUCUAAUCUUCAAUUAGACAGAGAGACUUAGACGUUUAAGCCUGUUGACUUAUUGCAGGUCGGAUCAGCUGAUCAUCACAUCCAUUAUUACGAUCUAAGAAACAUAAGUCAACCACUUCAUGUCUUCAGUGGACACAAGAAAGCAGUUUCUUAUGUUAAAUUUUUAUCCAACAACGAGCUCGCUUCUGCAUCCACAGAUAGCACACUACGUCUAUGGGAUGUCAAAGACAAUUUGCCAGUAAGAUUACGGCUUGAGCCAAUCCUGCUGAUAUUGUCCAAGGAAAAAAUUCUUGACCAAUGUUGUUCAAUAUUACUUGGCGUUUCUUUUUCAGGUUCGAACCUUUAGAGGACAUACUAACGAGAAGAACUUUGUGGGUCUCACAGUAAAUAGCGAGUAUCUUGCCUGUGGAAGCGAGACAAACGAAGUAUAUGUAUAUCACAAGGUUCACAAAUCUGACAUUCCUGCUUAUAACUUUUAUCAUCUACAGUUCAUUAUUCACAAAUCAAAUAUAUCUUUCCUUGCUCAAGUAUUUGGAAAUGUGGAUGAUGUAAUGCAGGAGAUCACGAGACCCGUGACAUCGCACAGAUUUGGAUCGCCAGACAUGGACGAUGCAGAGGAAGAGGCAGGUUCCUACUUUAUAAGUGCGGUUUGCUGGAAGAGUGAUAGUCCCACGAUGCUGACUGCGAAUAGUCAAGGAACCAUCAAAGUACUAGUACUCGCAGCAUGAUUUUAAAUAAACAUUACAAAAAGGUAUUAUAGCUUCGUGAAUCAAUAAAAGCAGUAAAUUUGGCAUCUAUGUAUGUUAUUUAGUGGGGAUUUAUAGAGAUAAAACCAUUUGUCAAAAGUAGUAGAGGUUCAUCAUUUGGAAAGUAACUUUUGUAUUAUGAUGCUCUCGACUACGAACCCUCGAGAAAAAAAUUUGUAUCAGAAAUGUAAAUAUACGUUGUCCCUAUGGUUUCUUAGUUUCUAUAAUUGAUUGUUUAAUCAAAAUGUCGUAAUGUGUGAAUCUGUAAUUGAAAAGUCAAACCUUGGCUUACCUAUCAAAAAGGUCCAGCCCCAUGCAAUAAUAAGUCAUUAAUAUGUUGUGCAUAUAUGUAGCAAGAUCAUUGAGGAAAAUUCUCAUAUUAUAGUGCAAAUUAAUUGACGCUUUUGUGUCAUAAAGAGAUAUUAGUACUAAACAUCUCUAAUCUAACUCGUAAGUCGUAACAAAAUGUGAUUGUGUGACACGGUCUCAUGAAAUGGUCGUAUUGAUAUUGUAAUAAUAAUUCUUUUAUAUUUGAAUACGCAACUAGGAAUGGCAUGAAAUUUUGUAUAAUUAGAUGCAUGCUUUGGGAAGUUUUAAAUCCCAUGGCACAACUGAACAACAUGUCAACAUUAUUACAAGUCUCUUUUAAAUAAGUCUCUUCACUUGCCCAUCAUAUAUCAUCCUAGUCAUUAUAAUUAGGUUAAGUGGCUUAAUUACAUAAAAGAAUUGCUAUUUAAUUACAUGUUUUUCUAAUUCCCUAAGUUUCAAGUCUUUGACUUUUUGCAACAAAGAAGAAUUAAUACAAAAGAAGUCAAAAACCUAAUUUAAAUGGAAAGAACGACUUUUUUCCACAACGAGGGAGACACCUUAAUGUGUUUCUUCCCUUUAAGCAACCGUAGCCAUCAAAAUCCUAGUUUCUUUCUCUCUUAAUUAAUCAAUUUUGCUUAAUUGAUGAUACUAAACUCUCAUAACAUUGUUCGAUCGAUAGAUCUAGCAUAUUUCUCUUUCAUGUUUUGUUUAUUACUAGUAAAUAUAUUUUAUGCAUCUCGUUAAACUCAUAACCACAACUAAAAUUUGAUCAUGGUAAUUAAUAAGAAAUUCGAGAAAGGAAUCAGCAAGUCUUCUUUCAUAUAUAUAUAUGAAUUGAAGAACUGUGGAUAAGAUUGUAUUAAUGUUGUUAAUUUCUUGAGCCUAUAUAUAAUUUAGCUAUAUAAAGCACGCAUGGUAUCAAGUCAAUGUUCUCAAAAAACAUUACUAUAUUAGCAUUGUUAAUUCUUAGAAUAUAUAAAUAUAGUUAGAUGGUUACAGCUUUGGAUUUUUCGUUGUUAUGGUAAACGCGUAUCGUUUCAUGUUAGCCACAUAUAUACAUAUUUUACUUUCAAAGUUCACACAUCGUAUAAUAAAUUUAUAAUAUAUAUGUAGGCAGACUCACGCAACUAUAUACCUAUGAAAUCUAAAUGUGAUGUCUUCUUUUAUUUUGUUGUUCGUCACUAAACUUAACGUCAAGUUACUAGCUAGCUCAUAAAUUGUUUACUAUUAUUACGUAAUUGGAACAAACGAUAUUCAUAUGUAUUUUUAACUUUUUAUAUACCAAAACCCCGAGUAUAAUCAUAUAUAUACUCGUAACUCGGUAGUGAAUGACUCUGAGAACACAAAAAAAAAAAAAAAAAAAAAAACUACAGGUAGAAGGUAGUAAUGGGAUGACUCGGAGCCAACACUUUCACUAGCUACGACUUUUUUUCUUUUUUUUUGUAGUUGUUGUUAUGGUUGGUAUAUCAUAAAGUCAUAUAAACUCGAGUUUUAUACCUAAAAAAUUAUGCCUUAAGAGUUUUCAAAAUACGACAAACAGAGAAACACUAUACAAUAUAUAUUUAUACAACUUGUACGUCGAGCUCUUUUUUUAAUUUGGUUUCGAAACGAGCUAUAUACUGCAAGAGCGUUUUCUCAAAAUAUAAUAUUCCAUUAGUCUAUUAUUUCCUUAACAUGAGAAUGAUCGAAACCCUUUAACAAAAUUUAUUAUGCGAUUUGAAUAUAUUAAUUAAGCACGUCAAAGUUGAUUAAUCAAGUACCACAAAACAAGAUGACAUAAAAAAAAAAAAAAAUCAAAGUACCACAAAACACAAUAUAAUUGCCUAUAGACCCUAGUAAAUUAACCCAUUAAUUGAUUUGUGGGCUUCAAUAAUUAUGAAGUCUUCUUUCCUCAUUCAAGUAUUUUAACGGAUCCAAGUUAAUUUAAAUAAGGUGAAAAUUUGUUCUUCCUUGCUUAGUAUUAGUAUGAAUUGGUUUGUCUAUAUAUGUCUCACUUACGUAUUUGUAUUAGCAUAUAUAUAUAUAUAUAUAAUAUUCUGCACUUCAAGUUUUUUAUUUUUAUUUUGGGUUACAAGAAUAAUGCGAGCAGAGUUAAGUUGUCGACACGAUCAACCUUCACAAGCUAAGAAAUGGAAAAAAAAAAAAAAAAAAGAAUAGCUACUCGAAUUAUUAUUAAGUAAGUAAUAAAAUUUGGUGGCUUUACAUUGGAAUAUUUGACCACUUGAUCCUCCAAAUAAAAUUAAUAAUUGUUUUAAUAAUUAACUUAGUGAGCAGUUUCCAAAUCGAUUCUCAUCCGCACGAGUCGUUUUCACUUUUUCUUUUUUUCUCUCUCUGUUGAACAUGCUCCAUCCAUAUAUAUACAGCGCACAUAACAUACUUGAAAGGUAUAAAAAUCAUAUAUAUAUUUCACAACUCAAAGAUUUGAAAUCAAAAACAAAAGUGAUGAAUCAUAUGGAAGCUUUGUGUUGUAUGUAUUUUUCAUAUAUUUGUUUUUGAUGGCCAACUGAAGUUAAAUUAAAAACUUUACAUAGAGCCACAUAAUUAAUUAUACACGUAUUCGUUAAUAAGAAGACUUGAAAUGUUGGAAUUUUCAAAAAGAAAUGGAGGAUAAUAAAAUUGUUUUUUCUUUUUGUAUAUUGUUCUUCAUCUUUAAAUGUAUUAUUAAUCAUUGAAAUAUUCCAAAAUAAAAGCAAAAUCUAAAGAUUCUAUGAUCGUUCGUGUUAAUAUAUACACUAUUAUAUUCAUCAUCAUUGGUCGAAAUAUAUAUAUAUGUCAUUCGAUAAAUUCGACCAAGAUUCAAAAUAUAUAUUUCCAAUUAUAGUUUUCCAGUACUUAUAGCUAUUGUUAUAUGGGAAUUUAAUGAAAAAAACCCUCAAUAUUGGCCGGAUCCAUUUUUAAACCCUCAACUAUUUUUUUAGUAAAUAAAACCCUUAACUAAAAAACAUUAACAAAUUUAACCCUCCGUCUAUAAAAACAUACAUUUAUACCGUUAACAAUUUCGUAUACUCUAGCAGAACAGUAAAAUGAAAACCACUAGGCAUAUUUUUAAACAUAUUACGAUCACAACACAAUUUUUCGAUUAUAGUAUUCUGCAAUUCAUGAUGGAAAAUAUAAAAUUUGUUUUACUUUUAAUUUACCUAAGAAAAGUAAAGAUUAAUGUUUAUAUAGGGCAAGAUAUCUCAUGUUAAUUUAUAAAUAUUUUAUUCCCAGCAAUAAAGAUUGCAAAUUGUACAGCUAUAAAUCCCUAAUCGGAUAUAUUCGGUCUGAUGGUCUAGCAAAUUCUUUUUGGAGUGUGUUAAUUAUAUUUUAUGGAUUCAGUGAUCCAAAAGACAACCAGAUAUAUAUAUUCAUUCAAAGUCACUAAUUAAACUCUUAAAAACGUGUGCAUAUAUCAUAAGAAGAAAAAAUAAUUUUUAUUUAAAAUAGUAAAACACUAUUGGAUUUGGAUCACCAAUCGAAAAAACUUGAUUAUCAAAACUCCCAAUUGAUCAUACACAUAAAUUAUCAAUAGUAGUUUUUCUAUUACGGGAUUUUUUAUUUAUAAAUUUUAAAAUUAUAUAGUUUUUCAUGUUACAAACUAGUUUCAUCACUAUAAAUAGACAUAAAGACAAUAUAUAUAUAUAUAUAUAUAUAUUAUGAAGUUAAUAUUAAAUAUAUAUAGAAAUAUUAUAAAGUUUCGCUAGAAAUAGAAAUAGAUUCGAAAACUAUUUGUAUACUAUCGAAUCACAUGGACUGAGAGAGUUGAGACAAAGAAUAUAUUUAGACACAGAGAAUAUAUUUUAUACGAUAUGAUUUUUAGACUGUCCUUUUGGUUUGAAGAGAGGUGGGAAUGAUUGGACGAUCGGCUUCUCAUCUCCUCUUCUCUUCCACAGUGACUAACAAUUGAGAACACGAAAGUAAUUGGAGAGAUUGGAAUCUUUUCUCAUCAAACUCCCACUUACUAUGUUUAGUCACUUAAGUGGAACAAACAAUAAUAACUCAAAACUUAAAAUAAAUAUUCUUUACCCAAAACCUUUGUUUUUCAUUUGACCAAUUUACAUAAUCCUAAAAUUAGUAAUCGACAUUCCCUAUAUCCAAGUUGUUUUCCAAUAAGUAGAAAGUAUAUAUAUAGCAUGACAUUAGCUUCUAUCAAUUUAAUAUUUCUAAAACCGGUUAAAAAAAAGUAUUUAUUUAAAAGUUUUCACGUCUUAAGAUAGUAUUAAUCGUUAAAGGGUAGAAAUAUUUUUAAGACAUUUUUUUUAAAAGUACUUAUUUAAAUUGUGUUUUCAAAUAAUUUGAUUUUUAAAAAGGCGUUGUAUUUUUAUAAUAAAAAUAUAUAAAGUGACAAUUCAAUUGUCAUAGUGAAAUGGUAUAUAAAACUUCUAAAUUUGUAAUAGUGGGCUAACUUUAAUGGAUGUAAGGGAAUAAUUACUGUAACCUUAAGUAGUAAUAUGUACUCAGUAGAACAUCAUGGUGUUAACACUUAACACACACACACACAUAUAUAUAUAUAUAUAUAUAUAUAUAUAUAUAUAUAUAUAUAUAUAUUCACUUUUCAUUUGAUUAAACAGGUCAUGGAAUAUCUUUAUAAGAGUCUAAAGAUGUCCAAGAUUUAUAUUUUCCCGAUGAAAGGACAUGGAAAUAUAAAUUUUAAUGAUAGUAUCGAUUAUAUGAGAGUUGAUAUGUUAGUUUUUCAGAAAAUUCCAUACAGAAUAUAUAUGUUCUCAUUAAUUAGUCAUCUCCAAAUGGUAAAAUUAUUCCACAAUUUAAUUUGCCAUAGUUUCUAUCAAUCACGAAAUUUAACGGAAUCGCUACUAUUGUUAACUGUUUAGCCAUUAUGCAAUAUCAAUAUUAGUGCCCAAAAUUAUUUAUUUUCAGCUCAAGUUUCAUAAACUAUAUUCAGUUUUACUUGCCGAUUGCCAUAGAAACUAUGCUAUUUUUUUAUAAUGUAGUAUGAUAUUAUUGUUUUCUACGAUUUAAUUCUGUUGCCAAUCAUAAUCUACUUAUUUAUUAUUAGAUGUCUUUUUCUAUAGGUCCUAAUUUUGAACUUACGUUGCUUGAAUCACUAAUCACAAUGGUUUGAUGACAACCCCUCCUAAUUAAAUGUAAUGCAUCAUAAUUCACCUGAUAAAAACCUUUUUAUUACUACAUGAGAUCUUUAAAGAUCAGACGUACUAAUCUCGUUUGGAAAUAGUAUAUAUGUGCAUAAAUGGUAAUACAUUAAUAGUGUAUAAGAUGGUAAAAACAUAGAAACAAAUUAGGGUUUUGGUGAAACAAAGAUUUUAAGAUAUAUUCUUAAAGAUGGAAAGCUCAGCGUGGAGCCCAGAGCAGCUCAAGACCCCAAAACCCUUUCCCAAAUCUGAAGCAUAUUCCAUCGAAUGUGCCUUUUCAUUUUUCCCACUUGUAUUUUAUUUUAUCUUUGGGUUAAGAGCUUCGAACCAAAAAAACACAAAAGAAACUAGUAUUGUUUCUCCAAGUUUAUAAUAUUUUCUGUAAUUAGUAACUCUAACCGAAAGAACCAAAUUCUACAGUCGAAAAAUCAAUAUCAUAUGUUCAUUCAUCCAUAGGCUAUCCAGUUUUAUAAUUCUGUAAAUUCCAAAGAACAAGAUUUUCUCACUUCAUCAACUCUAUAAAAAUUUUGAAUUAUAUUUUUUUAUUAUCUUACGACCACAGAGUUCAAAUGGUAAAUUACAAAUGAUUUCUUCUUCAGUUAGAGGUUAAUAACAAAAGAUGCUUUAGUUAUUAAUUAUAUACAUACAGUAUAUCUCCAUAUAUAAUAAUAAUUAUCGCGUGGUUUUAGUUAUUUAAAUUUAUGUAACUUAUGUAUAUUGAUUGUUGGAAAGAUAGUAGUAUAGACAAUAUAUAUAGUACGAGACGUGGAUGACAAAAUGACUCAAAAAAAAAAAAAUAACUUUGAACCUUUUGCAGCAAAUUUUAUCGAUGAAAGAAAAGGAUAACUAACUGUUGGUUGUUCACAGUUCACACACUAAUAAAACCAUAACAUUAAUUAAAUCGUGAAAGUCUUAAGUAAGUGACACCUCUUAAUAACAUCUGUGCAGAACUUUAGAAAAGCGUUUUUGUAAUAUAAAUAAGUUUUGCUAAGUUUUAAACGUUUGUAAAGAGCGGUUGUAAUAAAAAGCUCACAAAGAGUUGAAGCAAUCGAUUCAAAAGUUGAAACUAAUUAACACAAUUGAAUUGCAAUCUUAUAUACAAUUGGACGAAAAAGUUGGUGGAGCCGGAACGGGAACAAUUAUAAUAUAUAUAGGGAGUAUUAUAUACAUGUAUCUUUUACUUGUAAAAUUGAAAUGUAAAAAGUUUUUAUGUGGUAUAUCAGUAGCAUGAAUGUGUAAUUGCUUCAACUUUAUUUAGAGUUAAUUCUAAUUUCUACAAAUACAAGUGCGGUUCAUAUGUAUGAUUUUUAUGAUCAUGUGAAUUAUCUCGCGAUUUACCCAUAAAAACCGAUUGUUACAAGAAAACAUGGUAAGUGGUUUAAGUAGUUUGCCACUACCACUAAAUCCAACAAUUAUUCUUCUUUAACCAAUUCCAAUUUUAUAUAUAUAUAUAUAAUGUGUUGUUUUUUUUUUUUGGGGUUUUUAGGAUUUAAAAAAUAUAUAUAUAUAAACUAGAAUACAAACAUUUUUUUAGAUCACUAGAAAAAAUGUAGAAAUUUAAUUGAAACGUUUUUUGAAACACAACAGUUCUGAUCUUAAGAGAAUUUGUUUACGAUUGGGAUUAGAACUAGCCUGAUUUUGAACUUUUCUUAAAAUAGUUUAAAUAUACAAGCAUGAUUUGGUCCUAAUACAACUUAUCUAGAUAAGCCUGUGAAAUAUUCAGCAAAACAAACUUAUACUAUCUUGACCCACAAUACUAUUCAGAAAAAUAGAGAAACAUAUACAUAUAUCAACCUCAUUAAUAAUUAAAAGCGCCUAUUUAGAUCUUAGAAAAAAAUAUUUAAACAAGAAAUUGUAGUAUCGUAUUUUGCAUUAGUUUCGGGAUUGUGUUAUAGUUUGGAAUCAAAUUUUUAUAUUGCAUGUUAUUAUUGACAGAAAAAAAAUAUCUAUUUUGAUUGAUAAAUACCUAGAAAAAAAAACAUUUUUGAUUUGUUGUAUUGUUUUUAAAAUAUAAUAUACGUGGAAUUGUUUACAUAUACCACCAUAAUUAAAAGUUUUAACCUACUAUCGGUUCAUAUUUCAUAUAAUGAACAUGGUCUAAUAUACAAAGUACUUUGCAAUAAAAUAAAAUAAAAUAAAAUACCUUCUAUAGUAAUUUGUUUUCCGUCACCCAAUUGAAUAUUGUGUUUGGGUUGAAAACGAUUUGUGGUUUUCCCAAUUAGCUUAAAUUUCUAUUUUUGUAUUUUUAUACGUCGAUCCACCACCACCAUAGCUUUCCUUCAAUUUAAUAAAGUCGUAUUUUCACUUUCACUAGGAGAUUUUUUUUUAAACAUCCUUUUCCAAAAAAAAUACGAAUUUAAAUUAAUUAAUUGUUGCGUUAUUAUUUUAGAAAAAACAAUUUGAUCGAAAACGCAAGUCUCGUUCAUCUCCUCCAAAUGUUCUUUUUCUUUUUAUUUUCUAUCCAUUUCUCUCUAAAAGUCCAACAGCGACAACAUAAGUUUUCUCUCUCUCUACAAUGGCGUGUCUAUAUAAAGCAAGGUCGUCGAUUCAUAACGACUACCUCCAUUACUUGUCCAUAACCUUACAAGAAACCUAAAACAAGAUAAGAUCUUCAGAUUCAACACUCCAAGAAGCCUCCCAAUCGAACUCGUUUUAGAUUCUUUAACUUAGCUCGAGAGAGAGAGGAUGAAACUGAUUGAGAAGACGAUGAACAAGACCAAGUUUAUGACUAUGGAAGAAGAGGAGGAAGACAGAGGUCAGGGUUUCCAGAAGAUCGAGGUAGCUAUGGUUGACCGGAGAAGCCUAUCUCCGCCGCCAGCUGCUGGUGCUACUGCUGCUACUGCACCAUUGCUUGAGGUUUCCGGCGACCUGAUUCCACCGUUGAACUUUGCUAUGGUCGAUAACGGUAUCUUCCGGUCUGGAUUCCCGGACACAGCCAACUUCUCCUUCAUCAAGACUCUUGGCCUUCGCUCAAUCAUGUAAGCUUCCAAGAAUCUUGAUCAAAAUUGACUCUUGUAAUGAAAACGUUGGAGUUUGUUGAGUUUAGGUUUUUGUGUGUUUUGGUUUUGUUCAUAUGGGAAAUGUGUGAAGAUCUUUGUGUCCAGAGCCGUAUCCUGAGAACAACAUGCAGUUCCUCAAAUCCAAUGGGAUUAGUCUUUUCCAGUUUGGCAUUGACGGCUCCAAGUCCAAGGUGUGUCUCUUUUUUAAUUUGCACUCUCUCUGUUCAUAAAUGUCCAUUUCUAGCUAAUUGCUUCGCCACUGCCUUUGUUCUACAUUUCUUUAAACCUGAAUUCAAAAAAAGGGGAUUCUCAAAAUUGAAAAUUUCUUAUCACUUUGGAUAUCUUGAAUUUGCAGUGUCUGCCUGGACUAGAGAACGAGGUUUGGUUGCAUAUUUGGGGUUCUAAGCAUCACAAAGAAGGUUCCUAUACAAAUGGAAAUUCGAAAACUUCGGUAUUGAUCUGAAUACUAUCUAGACUUCUAGUCACACAUUUUGACUUGCUUAAUGUUGCCUAAUUGUUCUUUGAGCAUGCAUGUCUCUCUAGGUUUCAUGUUUCCUUAGGAGUAGUAAUUUGCUUAGGUACUAUGUUGUGAUUUAGACAACAAGAAUGGCAUUUCAUGUAUGGAUUUUUCUUUGUCUUGGACUCUUGGACUUAACCAUUCAAGAGACUAUUCUAAUCCAUAUUAUUAUUAUAUAAGAGACCGCCCAAGAAAAAGUGUUCACCAUUCUUUAAUGCUUUAUUGAAGGAUGCUUUUCUUGGCUCUGUCCGUUACCAUUGACUCCAUAGGUCCCACUGUUUGUUUGCUUGCCCUUGCCCUUGCCCUUCAUCAACUAAUACCACUUGGUCCUUUAUAUAAAAUUUAGAUAAUGGGCUGCGUCGAAGAAAAAUACUUAGCUACCUUGCAUACAAGUGUUGUCAGAGAUCCACUACUCGAAAGUUUUUACUUUCCUUUGUGUUUCUGUUGAUACUGUUUUCUUGGUUCAUAUUUGUUGCGUGUGCACUUUAAUGCCUGAAUGAUAUCUUAUGUAAUCUUAAAUUAAAAAUAGCUAAAAGAAAAGUGUUUCUUAGUGGUUGUACAAGUUGUAGUUGAAGUAGAAAAUGUACCUCAGCUUUUUUUUGGGUUUUGGUGGUGAAAACUUUGUGGAUAGUGUGACUUGUCGACAAUGUGUUAAUGGUAAAAGUAUCCACAUAUCAACCGGUAGGUAUAGUACCUUAAUCAAGCUGGGAUUAACAGUGAAAGUGAUAGAUGGUUAAGUUAUAUGGCAGUUACUGUUGUUUCAUAUACCUAACUAUAUGUUGUUGUUGCUUUAGUAUGUUUUAGUGGCUCAUAUGUUUGGGUAAAAUGACUUUUCAUUUAAGGAACUGUUGGUAUAAGCUAAGGGAGGGAAUAACAAAACCUGAUCGUAAACUUUUGAUAUUUCAAAUGCAGCCAUAAGAGAAGCCAACCAAACAUGUUACUUUAGUUUUUCUUUUCUUUUCUUUUAUGAAUAAGAACAUGUUACUUUAGUUGAACAAUAUAUUAGAUUGUGGAAGAUCAGUUUGUACAACUUGUGAUGGGGCGGCUAGUUUGAUAUUUAUCUAGAUUGCUUUAUUAUACUAGAAAGAGAAGUCUGAAAGGUAAAUAUAAUUGUGCUAUUGUGGUAUUGAUCGUUCUUUUUCCCACAAAUUCACCCUUGUGUUGUCAAUUCUGUUCUUACAAAUAUAUGAUAGUUUUUUCCAACUUUUUUGCUUUUUAGAUUUUUAGACUAAACAUGGUAAAGUGGCUUUUACAUAUCUUCUUCUUAGAAUGAUUUGACUAGAAAUGUAAUGAAUAUUCCACACUCAUAUUUUGUUUGUUGUGUCUCUCUAGUUUAAGAUCUGCUUAUUGGCUUAAGAUUCUUUAUGUUUGGUGUGACAACUCUCUAGUCUUCAUAGGAAAUCAUUUUCGUUUUCAUUAUUGCCUGCUUUUGAUGGCCCUCUUUGAUAUUGUGUAUAUUUUUUGCUGUGUGCCUAACUUUUAAUAAUAGGAAGAUAGAAUAUACUCCACAGCUCUUUUACAGUCUCUAAGAAAUAGCCAAAACUAAUCUAGUUUUCUUUUUGUUUUCUUAAUAUUAAUUUCGGUUUCUAAAGAAUGAUUAUAGACGACAGAUUAAACAUGUCUCUUCGUAAUUUCUAUACAUUUUUUUCCGGGUUUGUGUGUGACUAAAGACUUGCUAAGGAACUAAUAGUGUAACCCUCAUUUUUGCAGGAGCCAUUUGUAGAUAUCCUAGAUCAUAAAAUCCGUGAAGCACUCAAAGUCCUUCUAGGUAUAAAUCAUAGAAGCCCUAAAAGGAACAUAAAGAUAUAUACUGUAUCUUCUAAUUUCUCUCUUGUUUUUAACCCUCAGAUGAGAAGAACCAUCCACUUUUGAUUCAUUGCAAACGAGGCAAGGUAUGUAAAAAAGCUGAAUCUGACUGUUUUAGUCGAUGAGUUUUCAUUUCUUUGUUUUGACACACAAGGCAUAUAUAUGGCCCAUGAUCAUAUUGCAGCACAGAACCGGGUGUCUAGUUGGAUGCAUGAGGAAACUCCAGAAAUGGUGCUUGACAUCGAUAUUCGACGAGUACCAGCGAUUUGCAGCGGCUAAAGCUAGAGUUUCGGAUCAAAGGUUCAUGGAGUUAUUCGACGUCUCAAACUUGAAGCACAUACCAAUGUCUUUCUCUUGCACCAAUAGGUAAAAUGAAAAAAAAACGUCAAGGUUAUUUGAUCAAUCGGUCAGUCCUUUUUUUACAUAGUUGAAUAACAAAAGGAGAGGAGAGAAACCAUGAGUUAACCAAAGGAAUCAUCAUCAUAUUCUUCUGGUUUUUGUUUUCUUUUCUUUUUCUCCUGAAUUAUUAAAGAAAUAUAUAACAACAAUAAUUGGAAGAAGAAGAAGAAGAAGAAUAUAUUCCUUUUCUUUUGUAAGCUAAUAAUGUAAUAGAUAUAUCUAUAUGUAAUCAUUUAGCUAGAUAAAAAAAUUCAUAUAGACAUUUAUAUUUAUAUACAUAGAAAUGUUCACUAUAUAUAUUCUGAACUCUGAAGAAAGUCCAAAAGCCCCAACCAUGCCAUUUGUAAUCAUGUGCUCAUCUUUCUUCAUCCUCUGUUGCAAACCACCGAAUCUUUGUUUUUGAAAGUGAUACUUAUUCAUCAUCGUUUCUUUUUGGGUCACAGCCAAACUUCAUUCAAAAGUUAAAAAAAAUACAUUAUUUGUAUCAUCUAAUCUAAUUGUAUAUAUAAGUUAGUUUUAGAGAGGAACUAAUUAACAAGUAACAAUAAUUCAAAACAAAAACUAACGUGUCCGAACGAGAUCAUAGACAAAACAACAGUUAGGUUUUUUUUAUUCAUCAUCAGAAUCAUCCUUAUCAUGAUGAUAACACGAAGGCGAAGCUAUCACUUGACUUAACUGAAUCUUAAGACUAACUGGUUCUGUAACGCGAUGACACAUACAUUAUACGACCAAACCUCUCAUUGGUGAGUCACAUCCGAGUUAAUCCGAGUCCACUCAUUCUGUUCACCGUUUCCCACAGGCCAUUAAGGUUAACGUGAGUCAGGAUAAUAUUUUUAACUUUUACAGAAAAUUAACAAAACAAAAAUCAAAUCAAAUCAACCGCGAAAGUAAAUAAAAAAUAAAAUAAUAUGAGAAUGCCAAACAUGAGAUCAUCCACUAAUAAAGGAAAAUAAAAUUUAUUUUUUAGAUAACUCGAGCCUGUUAUCUAUCUUUUUUUUUUUAAUUAUAUUUCAUUUAAAAAAAAAUUAGGUUGUUUUUUUUAAUAACUUUGUUCAUCUUUUCCAAAGACUAUUAGAUUUUUUUGGAGUAUUAAGGUAGGACAAUAAUAUAUAUAGAGAAAGAAACCUAUCGAAUGUUGGUAAAAAGAAGAGAAGAAAACUCAAUGGAAGUAGGAAACUCGAACUUGAAUUCAAAUGUUCUUGAAGAAUUGUUCCUUAGGCUUCCCCUGAAAUCUCUCGGCAGAUUCAAAAGCGUGUCGAAAGAAUGGAAGUCCAUACUGGAAUCAAAGUGGUUCGUGGAGAGACAUCUCAGUCUUGCAAAGUCUCGCCCUAAUAUCCUUCUGGCCUACCACUGCGACUGCGGCGUCUCCACGAGUAUCCUCAACGGGCUGCAGCACUUCCUAUGGAGCCUAGAGUUUGUCUAUUUGCACUGUGACGCGACACGACCGUCGAUGAGUUACGACGGUUUGGUUUGUUUUCCCAAAGCAGAGUUGGUCGACGUGGUGAACCCCUCCACGGGUCAACUCCGGCGAUUCCAUUGCCCCUCCCUCUUGAAUCCCUGUCCCAACUCCGCUAAGUUUCACGAAGGUAUGCCAUAUCUAGUUUUACUUGUGAGUCAAUUUUUUUUUUUGGUAGGAUCAUAUUUAUAUAUAUUAUAUGGUUGGUCUAAUCUCUAAAGCUAUGAAUUCAAAUUUUUCAGAAUCAUGGACGACUUAUUUUCCGGGAUAUUGUGCGAUGGGAUUUGGUAGAGACAGCGUUAAGGGUUGCUAUAAAGUAGUUAGGAUCUUCCGUAAUCCUAACUAUUGCGAUAUCCUUGAUGUCAACACUGGUGAAUGGCGGAAGCUUUGGAAACCAAGUCGUUACAAGGUUGAUGUCGGAAGAAAAUCUACGUGUGUCGACGGAUCAAUCUACUGGUUACGAAUUCAUGUCAGCGGUUCUAUCUACACGAUACUAGCCUUGGAUCUUCACUUAGAAGAGUUUCGUGCGGUCCCUCGUCCACCUCUUCCCAAGGGCAUCGUGUUUGAAGCACAAAUUGUCAACAUUAACGAUCGUCUUGCCAUAGCCAUGCCCGUUUCCCAUCCUCUUCACCAAUACGAGCUAGAGAUAUGGAGUAUGGAUUCACAUAAAGAAACAUGGAGCAAGACUCACUCCAUUAGUUUAGCUUCUCUUGGUAUGGUGGAGUACUCCAGGUCCUUCACACCCGUGAUCCUCUCUAAUCAAGGGGAUGUUGUAUUUUCUGACAAUAACAACUACUUGUUCAAAUAUAUUUCAGAGACAGACACGCUCCAUAGCCUCCCUGAUGACAUUUGUGUUAUAUCUCCUUACGUUGAGAACUUUAUCCCACUUCCGGCUCAGCAAGUCGAGUUAAGGACUGGAAUCACUUGCCUCCACCCCGAAACAAUAAUAUUGAUUUACUCCGUUUGUUUUAUAAAGAAAUUUAUCUUUGUGAAAUCAUACCUUGCCAAAAUUUUGCGCCAAUGUAACAUACUUUAAUGUGUGUUUUUACACUAAACUUUCUAAUUUACGCUUAAUCCAAAACAACUUUUAUUAAAUUUAAUUCAUUUAUCAUUUUAGAUAUGAGAAUUUAACUAAUGAGAAAUUCUCUAAAAUACCAUAUUUUAAGUUUAUUUUCCAAAAAUAGAUAAAAUUUUAUUUUUCUCAAAAUACCAUAAACAUAAAAAUUGAUUUUUAAAGGUGUAAAAUAUUUUUGAAACUUGGGUUUACUAUUCAAUAUUUAGGGUAUAGCUUUUAAGGGUGGGAUAAGUGUUUAGGAUUUAGGAUUUACUUUUGAAUGUUAAAAAUGAAAUUUAAAGUUUUGUGAUAUUUUAGAUAAAAUAUUUUAGUGGUAUUUUUAUAAAUAAAACUAAUAAUAGUAUUAUUGAAAAUAAAAAUCAUAUAGUGGUAUUUAUGAAAUUCUCCCUUGAUUCAUUUAUUACAUGUCAAAAUAUUGACACAUGUAUAAUUUAAAAUUUUCUUAAUUUGUGUGAACUCUUCCAAAUACAUAUAUAAAAUCGAAACAGUUGCAUGUUCUACAGUUUGAUUAAGCUCUAGUCUUCAUGCUCUCUUUUCUUUUUUUGUUAUCGUUUAUACAUCCAAAACUUACCAAUUCUGAGGAGGACGUCACUAGGAUAUUUGCAAGAAGCGUGAGUGUGUGUGAGUGUGACUCCUUUCCUAUAUACAACAUGAUUUGCCAGAUUUGGGACAAUGCUUCUUGGCGUCUGCCAGACUGCGACACAAAACCUAUCUAUAUACAUACUCUAAGAACCUAUCACAUCCGGUAAAAGGAGAGAACAAAAAAUGAAAAGAAUUGAGAAUUUGGUUUUGAGUUCUAUGCAAGGUGCAAUUUCCUUCUAGUUCCGUCUCCCUGCAAAUUGCAAAACAUGAUCAUAACCGAUGUGAGAAACGCAGAUAUGCCAAGUAUGAGAAGAAUAUUGAUGACUUUAGUAAAAACUUACUGUACGUUGAUUGCUCUUAGCAGAUUUGCCAUGUCUUGAGUCUAGAGAUUCUGGUCUCGUGGUUCGUCCAUGUAGUCUCUCCAUAAAGUCUUGUAUGUGAUUAUAUGUACUGCAAAGAAAACCAGAUCACAAAAAUAUGUCAGAACUACUUAUAUAAAAAAGUGUAAACGUGUGUGAGAGAAAUAGAUGUCAGAAAUGGUCAUAGCGCAAUGUGUAUAUGUGUGCGCUAUCAAUGCUUUACCUAAGCCGAUGUCUGUUACAGGCAGCAAAGAAGGCCACAAAACCGUUCAGUAUACUCCUGACAGCACGAAAAACCUGAAAAAAUGAAGCAAAACACAUUUAGUAACAAUCGAAGUAGCAAAAGAUUUAGAUACUUUUGAUUGUCUUCAAACUUUUUACUGACAUGAGAAAAGAGGUCGUUCCAAAGCGUACGCCACAUGGAGACUUCAUAAGUCUUCACAGCUGCUUGAGAAUCUGAUGCAACCUGAAGUACGCUGCUCAUAUACCUCCAUAAAUCUCCAAGAACAUCGAAUAUGUAUGAGAAGGAUAAAGAUAAACCACUGGCCAAGGCAGCAACCACUCUGAUCGGUGCAUAUACCACUUCCCAUAUGAUCCAGAAUAGAGGGAGUAAAACAGUAUUUGCUGUAGAAUCGAAAACAAAAAAGAGAUCAGGAUUAUGAUUAUAUUCUUAAAAAUAUAAGAAUAAUAAUGCUCAAGCAGACGGUUAAUAUACUUACUGACGUUCCAAACUAGUGAGCCAAUAAACCAAAUGGGCAAAAACACCAAUUCUACCACAUCACCAACAAGAUUCCAGCCAGACUCGAUCACUAUCCAAACUACUGAAACCAAGCUCGCCACUGUUUCUGCCAAUGAAUUCCACAAAGGUAGGAGUAGACCGAGAGUAUCUAUGAUAGGAUUUACCAGAGGCAUUAUGAGUAAAGAAACAAAUGGCUGAAUAGCACGUGCCAUGGUUAAAGCCCACUUGACAGCUUUCUGAAAAUUGUGAAGAAACAACAUCGUUCCCAAGUACUUUAUCCGUGAUACCAUGUCCCAAGUUUCAACCCAAUCAAAGAGUGGACCGCAUAACCGAGAUGCAGUGGCCUUCAGAACAGGGACAUUUUUGUACAGGUCAUAAAAACCAAUCACAACGGUGACGACUGAUAUCAUCACAUAUAAUGCUCUCGCAAAAAGGCACAUCCAGGGUCGGUAAAGAUGACAGAAACCAGGAUAAGACUGCAGAAACAAGACCCAUGAAGGGAGACCAGCUUCUAGUAAAGUCAGCAAGCGUAUGUCAGCCAUUAUAACCUCUCGCAAUUUGAAAGGGAGAUCACGGUCACCACACCUAACAAGAACUAGAAGAUCCUUAUAUUGGGUUGCUUCAAUGAUGUUCUCACCAUCAGGUACAUGGCUUUCCCAAUGGUCCACAGAGUUAUCUUUUCUUUUUGGUGUCUCCUCCAUAUAGUCAAUUUCAACUCCGGUACUGAUUGCCUUAGUUACUCUUCUUCUCUUGUACGGUCCAGUCAGAGGCGGUGUGUGAGGCUCGUUUUCAUCAUAAUCUGCAGCAGAAUGAUUAACGUUGAAGACACUUCUGGAGCAGCAAGGAGAGUCAUAUUCACCAGAAAGAUUGUCGCUGCUGAGGUUGUCAUCAUCAUCAACAGGAGAAGUUUUCGAGAAUUCUGCUUCAGCGUCAUAAAAAACCUCUCCUGCAAGAGUUACAAUACUAUAAGCUUAUUUAACCCAGGGAGCCAUAAAGGUGAAAGGUUAAAAGCAUGUCAGAUAUAUCACCAAUUAAAGCAAAGUUGCUGAUGAAAAAGAAUUUCAAAACUAAAUCAGAGCAAAUUAUCAUACCUAUAGUUGAGUCGAGAUAUUCCCUCAAGCAAGACUUUUCAGCUUUUGAUCCAGAGAACCACUGAGACAUGCUUUUUACAGCUUGAUCGAUACUCUCAAACUCCCACCUUCGCAUCAACUUAGCUUCUAUAGCAAGAGACGUGUCUGUCUACAUAAAGAAAUAUAGAUCAAGUAAGAAACAAGAAAAAAUAUAAACUGGGAGAGCAAAACAAUGGACAGUUGCAAGGGGUACCAGUAGUUCAUUCAAGUAAUUGAUACCCCUGACAUUGGCCCAUUCAACUUCAAACACGAUGAAACCGUACAAGGUCUUGUGUAGCUGCUUUUUUAGAAACAAAGCGCUCUGCAGUUUCUUAGCAGGUAUUUUCUUCUUCGAAAAAGUUGUGGCAUCUAUCAAUGAGAACCACUUCUUAAGCUUCUUCAUCUUUCUAUCGUUAGGCUGGGGCUGAGAACACGUCUCUUUAGGCUUAUGCUCCUCCUUCUGCUUUGGAUUUUCCAUCUUCUCCUCCUCCUGCCUCUGAUUUUUCUUCUCCCCUCGACCUUUCGUGUUUGCAAAAGGGGAAAGUCUGGACUGCAAACAAAGAUAGAUGGGUCAGUUCAUCAUAAAUUUUCACCUGGACAACACAAACAAGAAAUAAAGUUGAAGCAGCUGUUACAACCUUUGUAACCAUAAGUUGCCAGAAAUGAGCAGAUCUGGUGCCAGGAUUCAACCAUGGCCGGUUGUCCACCAAUAUGUAAAUCUUUUUACUUUUGUUGCCCAGAAAAAUACUGAGAUCAGAAAGAUAUGACUGCAAGUCUCUGAAACAAACGAAAAGUAAAACAAAGCUUAACCAGACAAGCAAAGAACAACAUCAGGCAAAUAAAAUGUGACAAUGUAGUAAACUUUUUUGAUGCAAACACGCAAACUAAUAAUCCUAUUGCUGGAAUUUUGCAAGAACACAUGCUUGAGCUAUACUUAAAUUUCACAGGGAAUAUUAAAAGUGAUUAACAACAAGAACAGAUACUACUUCAGAUUCAGGAAAAGAACCUAAGCCCUGCAUCGAAAUUCUACAGGCAUUGGAUUCAGCUUACAUACAAAAUAAGGAAAGGAACCAACAAAAAGAAAAGAAAAAAAGCCAAACUCUAAAAAGAAACUGUCAAAAACCAAAACAGAUGUUGUUUUGUCUGAAAGUAGAAGAUAUAAAUUUCCUAGAAAGGUCCAACAAUGGCUGAGAGCAAGGCUUAUAUAAUAAUGGAAAAGCAAACACAAAACAGGAAACUACUUUCUUGUACUUGUAAACAUAUAAUUUUCAUAGACAUAAAAGUUACAGAAUCAUUGAUCUCUGAAUAUACUAAGAAAACAAUUGCCAUCAAAGAGAAGCGGGAGAGAGAUAACAUGUACCCGAUCUGGAGACUCGACAAGUGGAAAACACAUUUUGUUUCAUGCCCCAUCUAUUAUCUCCCAAUUUUCCAAUUAAACGUCAAAUUGACCUCAAAUUCCCUGAAAAUCACUGGAAAAUAACAAAACAGAGUUCAGUAAGAAUUCGUCAUUACCAUGAUUGAGAGAAUUAUCCAUAGAUAUUACAAGAGAAAGUGGUGAAAGAUUCUAGAGAUAAAAUGGUGGAUGUGAUUGUAAAGAAAACAUAAAUAUGGGGAGGAUUUAGUCAAAAUUGAGAUUACUUAAUAAAAAAGGAAACUCUAGAAUCUCUAGGUAUAAAGGAAGCUCGUUAAAUCGAAUGAAUACCGAACGCCGGCGAACAGAAACAGCAAUGGCCGGAGAAAAUUGAACCACACACAAACAACGGAUCAGAUCAAAAUCAAAACCACAAUUAAUGUCCGAAACAACAACCGCGAACAUAAAAAAAAAAAACAGAGCCGAUGGUUUAUCACCAGAGAAACCAAGAAUUUGAAAUUUGAGAGAGAGAGAGAGAGAGAGAGAGAGAGAGAGAGAGAGAAAUUGGGUUUACUUGGAAUGGAAGAAGAAGAAUAUUUCCAAAAAAAGACGUCUCAGGGUGACAGCAAAGGGGGUAAAACGGUAAAUUUAAUAGCCAAGGAUGACGGGGGAGGGUAAGGGCUGUGUUUGUGUCGUUAUGGCGCCCAGUGCCAGUGCCAGGGGGGGUUCUCGUCGGGUUGUAUCUUCACCGGAGCACGUCGAAGAAGAGAGAGAGAGAGAGACGAUUAAGAAGAGAGAAGAGAGCUUACGGGAAGAUAUAUAAACAUACGCGUGGGAUAAGAGAGGUCCUUUCUAUAGGCAAGCGCGUGUAUUUCCUAUUUUUUAUAUAUUUUCUCAUAUUUGCUUUAAGGUCCUUCAAGAUUUGAUUUAUUCUGAAUUAUAAUCCCGCAUAAGAAGAAAAGGAAUCUUUUAAUUAAAUGAGCAAUAAAUGAGAUUUCGGUAAUGAAUUUAAAUAAGGGAAAAUUGGAAAUAAGAGACAUUUUUUAAAAACUUUGUCCAUAUAUACCUUUUUUAAAAAAGUUUGGUGAAUUAAGAUUUUUUGAAAAAUUAAACUCCAUUUAUACCCUCAAUUAUAAUUAAGUAACUAUUGUUAAAUGAUACAUAUAAUACAUAAAAAGAUACAUAUAAUACAUAAGCCUCGUCCAGAUCAUCUCUUAAUACAUAAAAUACAAUAAUACAUAUACAAAAAUAUUUUAAGACAAUGCAAAUACAUAAGCCUCGUUUGAUCAGAUCUGGUAAGAAAAAUAGUUACUUUUUGUAUAUGUAUUUUAUAUGAAUAAAAUACAAUAAUACAUAUAAUACAUAAAAAGAAAAAUCAGAAAAAGAAAAAAAAAUCAGAAAAAAAAAGAGUCUCCUUAAGCCUCCGCCGCUUCUUCUCCUUGAAGCCUCCGCCGCUUCUUCUCCUUGGUUUCUCAAGAUGUACUGUAUUGCAAAGUAACUAAUCUCGCACGUUUUACUUCAACAUCAAUAAAUACCCACUGCUUAGUAGCAUCUAAUCUCCAUAAACCACAAGUAACAUAGAUUUGCAUCAUAAUUAAAAGAAAAAACUCAACAACUUUAAGAGAAUGGAGAAAAGAAAGAAGAAGAAGUCGUGACUAUAGUUUUAGGAACAUAAUUUAGGGUUACAAUCGUUUUUUUUUAUAAAAAAUACUUCUAAAAUUUUCAGAUUACGUAUUCUGAAAAAAUCUGUAGAGAAUCUGAAUCAUAUAUUCGAUUCUAACUGAAUUAUUUACUUUCCUAAUUAUCCGAUUUUGUUUCCAUAUUUAUAUAACCGAAUAUUUUUUAGAAUACAUAUUCAAAAAUAUUUUAGGAUUUAUAUUCUACACUUUUCAGAACAUGUAGUAAAUUGUAGGAUACAUAUUCUGAAUUUUGCAGAACAUAGAAUAUUUUUAGAAUUUGUAUUCUGAAUUCCAAAAAUUCGUAUUCUGAAACUUUUGGAACAUGUUUUCUGUUCUAAAAUUCGUAGAACAUGUACAAAAUAGUAGAAUGGAUAAUCUAAAUGUUUCAGAACAUAAGAAUACGUAUUCUGAAAUAAGAAAACGUUUUCUAAACUUUUCAGAACAAAAAUCAUCUACAGUAAAACCUCUAUAAAUUAAUAAUGUUGGGACCAUGAAAAUCUAUUAAUUUAUAGAGGUAUUAAUUUAUCGAUAAAUAGAGAGAUAUUUCUAAUUUGGAAAAUAUUUUCAAACAAUAUUUAAAAAUAAGAUUUAAUCAUGAUAAUUAGUAUUUUAUAUAUUCAAUUACAAAUAAAAUAAUAAUAAUUAUGUAUUAAAAUAGAAUGCUAACUAUUUUUCAUAUAGUAAAAUAUUAGAAAUAAAAUCUAACAAAAACUAAUGUGUUUAUAUAUACAUAUAUUUUGAAAAUUUUACCUAAUUAUUAAUUUAUAAUUUUGAUGGGACCAUAUAUUUACAAAGGAUUUUCAAAAAAAUUAUUAUCUUAUUAUUUUAUCGAAAUAUGUCUAAAAUUACACUGGUCCCAACUUGGGACCGGAUAAAUUUAUUAAUUUAUAGAAGUUAUUAAUUUAUCGAGUAUUAAUUUAUAGAGGUUUUACUGUAUGUGAAAUUCAAUUAUUUUUCAAAAAAGUUGAAAAGCCUUUUCUUCAAAUAUAAUGUAUAAUGACUUAUUUACAUUAUUUGAUAAUUUUCAACUUUAAAAAUCCCUUAAAAUUUGAUUUAUAUGUUAGUAGGGGUAGUUCAGUCAAGAUUGACAAUUUCAAAAAAAAGGUAUAUAUGGACAAACUUUUGAAAAUAUGUCUAUUUUUUCCAAUUUUCCCUUUUUUUUUUUUUUGUCAUAAAUAAAAAAGGGAUGCAACACGAGGACUUCCCGGGAGGUCACCCAUCCUAGUACUACACUCGCCCAAUUUUUCCAAUUUUCCCUUAAAAUAAAUGAAUUUGCAUGGUGUAAGUAUAGUAUUAUUGAAAAAGUAGAUAAAUGGAUAAUAAUAUAUAAUGAAUCUUUUUAGUUGUUGUACUUAGAAUAUUACUUGAGGGGUACAUUCGGAUCCUAUUGUACUUGUCAUUGUCAUUAAUGAGAACUCUUUCGGAGAUAUUUACCAAAUGUCAUUUACGGAAAAUAAAUCAAGUAAUAAUGAAAUAAAUUGUUGGCAACAAAAUAAAAUUUUAUAAAAAAAAGUUAAAGCAAGAAAAAUCAAAACUUUCUUUAAAGACACGAAAUAUGGAUAGGGUGUCGAGUGGGAGGGAUUGACGCAUGGAGAUGAUGAAAUGACCAACAUUGAAGUUUAUGUGUAGUAAUAGUUGCUUUGAAAAGUGUAUCAUCAUCCGGCAUUUAAUCUGCGAGAAACACGAAUAUUCAUGUCGGCAUACACACAUUAAAUUGCUUCUAUAUGUAUUUUUUCAUUAAAAUUUAAUAAAUUGUAUUCUUGAAAAUUGAAGAAAAUAAAAAUUUAUCUCAUUUUUUGGGAAAGAAAGUAAUAUAAAUUGAAGGUGAAAUUUGGUUUUGAUAAAUUGGACGAAUACAUUGAACUAUUUGUUCACCAUAUUAAAAAAACUAAAUAACAUUUUUACCUAUUAAGUGGACUAUUGUUUAUAAUUGGGAUAUGCCAUGAAAGGAGUAUGAAAAACAAAAAAAAACGCAAUUGAAUGAAACAGAAAAUUGUGUUUCUAGAUUUUCGUAAUAUCCAAAACAUUAAUACUGUCAUGGUAUCAUUUGCAUAUUUUGCAUACUUUAUUUGCCCACUAUAAAAUGUUAUAUUAUUAUUGUUUUGUAGUCACAACACACUAUUCGGACCAUCAACCAAACAUAGCCGCUAAACCGAAUAUACACAUAUAACUGUGACUACUACUAAUCAGAGGUUGGUCUGAAACUUUGGGGGUAAUUACGGAAGUGUUGUUUUGAAAAAAAGGACACGCGCUUGCAGUGCGUGAGGAGGAUAUGGAGUAUGGGGAAAGAAGACCCAAUCAAAAUUUGGACGUAUAUGAUCUAUUAUUAUGUAUAUUUCGAACACAAAGAGCUCGUGGUAGGUCCUCUUUAACGCCGCUUUUAUCAAUUUUAUCUACUGGCUGGAACUAAAACUACUAGAGAAGCUCCUCUCCUCCUACGUAAUAAUAAUAAUUGAGAAGAAACCAACUCAACGCAAGUGAUGUCUCUCUAUUAUUAAUUAUCUAUAUGAUGAUGCAUUAUUGCGGAUUCACGUUACAUAUGCAUUCUACGUAUAUCAAAACAACAACUAAUGUGUGUGUUUUGAGAACGAUCACCAAAGAUUCAACUAGUUCUUUCAUUUCUAUAAUGAUAGUUUUCCAUCAUACACAACUUCGAAUACUUUAUUAGCCUUCUCAUAUGCAUAUUAAUUUUUUGUAUGUAGGCAAAUAAAAAUUCUUUUUUAAGUUUUGCUAAAUUCACGAUCAACUUCUAAUUAAGACCAGACCGCGCUAGAUUACACUAGCUAGGUUGCUAAAAAUAUUCUUAGGUGCGGGACUCAAUUAAAGUUGUCUUAAAUUCAUGGUCUACACUCUUUAACAUCAUUUAGACCAUACGAGUUUAUAAGUGGAGUGCAUUGUGCUUUCGAAUUUAAAUUUAUUUAUAGACCUAUCAAGCCAUCCUAUAUUAGAUUAUCUAGCAUUCUCGACUAAAGCAAUCCCGACGUCUAAUGAAAAAUUUAAUUUUAUCAUAGCCAUAUAGCUCAUGUCACAUUUCAUAGUUCACACACCCCUCUCAUUUCAUGAAAUUCACUUAGUUCAUACUUCAAUCAGAUGAAAAUUAACACGUGCAAUUCUUAGAUACAACUAAACGAAGACACUGUCGAUAACAUUGAACUUCUUAUCUAAAUAGGAAAAUGUUAAAACCCACAGGCCACAGCACUUACUCAUAAUAUAUAUACUUGGAAACCCAAGGUUGAAAUGAUAUACACUGUUAAGUUUCACUCAAAGAUUUAGAUUCAAAUCCACUAAGGACACUAAUGCUGAUAAAAACAAAACACAAAUCGAGAUAUCAAAAACCUCAAUUAAAGACUGGACAAGUGCAAACUCUUUAAACGCUACUCUUUUUUACAGAAGGAGGCCAAGAUAGUCUACGGUUUGAAUUGUUAUUACCAUCCUCAUCUUCUUCUUCUGCUUCAUCUUGAUCAUUGUUUUGUCUCCUUGUUGUCUGAACUGCUAAGUCGUCGAAGCUUGACUCUAUUCUCCCUUGAGGUGGAGUCACACAAUCUGAGUCCCUAUGCGUCAUUUCGUUACCUCCCCCUGGUGUUGUUGGUAAUGAAACUGCAGAGUUACCUACUCGAAGGUCUUGAAGAGUCGCAAAUGAUUCUCUCAUCGCAGACAUGGCCUCAAAAAAUCUCGUGCAUGACGCUAGUGCCACGGGUAUUGGACGCAACAUUUCCUAUGAAUUUGAGGGGGAAUGAAAAGUAGCGAUAUUGAGAUUAUAGCAUUUAAAACCAAAAAAAUCAACUGUUAUUGUGCAACAUAUUCCAUAAAGUGGCAAAAUCUCUUUAUCUCUACCUGCAAAGAGAUUAAAACACACAGAAAACUAUUUUUCUGAGUUGCAGAGAGAAUUCUUCAGCAAUGGUAUACAGUUUACACUAUGAAAAACAUAUUAUAUCCCAACAGAGACGAAUAUAUGUAAUGUGGGUUACGCCUAAGAGGAUGUAAAUAGUAAAAUAUGUAAAAGAGAGUAGAAUCAUACCCCCCAAACUGUAGGAGGUUCCUUAAAGUUUUGGCUCCACUGAAAAUCAGAUACCGAUGCUGUUAAGGCGCCAUAAUCACUGGCAGCUUUCAUUAGCAACUCUGAAAAUUGUUUCUGAAAACAAAGCAGAAAAAGUCAUGAGACACAGCAUC
rnacentral:lncRNA from 1 species